AAUAAAAAAAAUAAAAAAAUGUGUACAAUAAUGCGUUGCAGAGGGGUAAAGAGGUGAGUUGUGUGAUUAUGGAUGAUGGAUCAGAUUUUGAGUUUCACCUUGAUAUUCAUUUUCAAGCAACAAGUUUGGAUCUGGCUUGUACAAUGGUAAAAUAAAAACAAAUUAAACUCACCACUUGAGGGGCUCCUUAGUGAAUAAUGAUGUAAUAGAUGGGGGGAUAAGGUGUAUAAGGCUCAUCGGGCAAGACGAAGCUGUCGAUAUCUUUAUAAUAUUGGGCAAUAUGAAUGAAAUAUCCCCAUUGGCCCAUCAACAUUAAAACUUGAACUCAAAGAAUACCAAUUCUCACCCAAAGAAGGAGAAACAAAAAUCAUUGGAAUUCCAAGAAAAAUAUCUCCCUACAAAACAAUCAAAACCCAGUUUGUGUUUUCGUUUAUGUAAGUUAGUAGUAGCAGCAAAUUGAAGACAAUGAUUGAAGAAGAGAAAAGAAAAGAAGGGAAAUGGGAAAGAUUGUAACAAAGAGUCAUGAGUUGAGAGAAAACAGUUCUUGUGGUGUUGCCGGUGAAGGAGCCAAACACUCUAGAGGAGGUGAGAAAGGUGACAAAAUAUGUAAAAUGUCAUUUGGGAAAUUGUAUUUUAGAAGUUGGAUGUGGAAAAUAGUUGUAAACUAUUUAGAAAUGCAACAUUAAUGAUAAUUUUUCAAAUAAAUGGAUUUUAGAUGUUUAUUUAGUAAUGAACUAUUUUUGGAUUUGACAAAUCCAUGUUCUUUUACCUUUCAAAUAUAAUUAAUUUAUUUAUAAUAUAUGCAUUUUAUUCUUGCCAUUUAGAAAUUCAUUUUACUGAAAAAGCUACUCAAGCCUUUCUUUUUCCUUUUAAAUUAAAUAAAAAGGAAAAUUUUGUUUUAAAAAAUGAAAACAUGAUAAGAAAGUUAGUUUCUGUUUUCUAUAAAUAAAAUAAAUUAAAUUAUUAUAAUUAUUGAUAUUUAAUUUUUUUUUUAAAAAGAAUAUUUUUUUAUUUUUUAAAUGAAAUUUUGUGUUAUCAAAUUUUCAGUUUUGCAAAGCAUUUUUAGUAAGAAACAAUGAAAACAAUUUUUUAGUAUUUUUUUCAUUUUCACAUAUUUUUAUUUUUAAAAAUUUUCAACUGAACUAAUUUCUUUCAAUAUUUUUUAUUUUCCAAUAAAAUGAAAAUAAUCUUUAUUACAUGAAAUCAAAUGGAGCCUUAAUUUUUUUCGAUUAUUAUUUUAUAUUGAUGUAAUAUAUUUUUACUCAACUAAAUACCAACAAACUAAAAAUUUAUUUAUUUAUUUCUUUUUUUAUAAAUAAGAGUAUGGUAGCAAAAACACCCUAAAUAUGGAUUAACAAGAUGGAGAAACCUUCAAUUCUUUUAAUAAUUUUGAUAAAUCAAUAAUCAUAAAGCAUCAAGCAUAACCUAGUGUCACGAACUGUGGAUCAAGACCCGUGACAAAUGCACACGGAACGUCCCAUGGAGGUCAAUUGAUCAAAUAGAGCUCAUUUAGUCCACUUGAAUUGGCUUGAUUCGUGGAAUAUAUGGAGAAGACCAUCUACUUGAAGCAUUGGUGGUCCAAUGAAACACUCCAAUUAAACUAGAGUUACCAAAGUAAUUAUUGUAAAUCCUAAGGGAUAAGGUGCAUAGAGUUUAAAUUCCUUAGGACUUUCAUCUUGUAGAUGGGCACUAAUCUCAGUCGUUGAUGUAAUGUGAUCCGUACCAUUGGAUCUGAGGAAACUCAACUAUAAAUAGAGGUUUUCCUCCUUAUUUAUAAUCAUCCCAUUGAUAGUUAAAGAAUAUAUUUGAAAGCAUUUAAAAAAAAACCUUGUGUGCAUUGCUUUCUUGUAGCUUUUCAGUUCUUCUGUUGUUCAUUUGCUUUUCGUUGCUUCCGCUAUCUUUCAAUGACUUAGAGAAUUUUUGUAAGAAUUCUCAUCUUUCGAGAGUUAGACUGACUUAGGUGGAUUUGAAGCAAAGAAAUUACCUAAGAUCGCGUCGUUUGCCAGACUUAAGUUCUAGCCCCGUGAUAGUUGGUAUUAGAGCUAGUGUUUAAAGGCGUUGUUCGAGAUGUAGAAAGGAGUAGACGAGCAGGUUAAGUCUAUGGAGAUCUGUGGGAGGGGCAAGAAAGCGAACAACUUGAGAGAUAUGUUGUUAGCAUUACAAGACAAAAUUUUCAAACUUGAGGGAUCCAUGGGUGAUGUGAAAGAGACCAUUGAGAAAGUUGAUGGGCGUACCACAAAGCUAGAAUCAAGGCAAGACCAACUCAAGGAACAAGUGGUAGAUGCCUUCAAUGCAAAUGUGGAUUCGACGCAAAGGGUUUUCAAUGCCGCUGUGGGUGAGCUGAUUAAGAAGAAUGAUGAUUUCAAGGCAAUGGUAUCGGUUUUGAAGGAACAAAUUAAGGAGCUCAAGGUAGUUGUGGACAACUUCUUAUUGGGAAUGGAGCAAUAGUUCAAUGCCAAAUGCAUUAUUGAUGAUACAACUAAGGUAAAUACUAUUGCCAUGUAUUUUACUAACGUCACUUUGUUAUGAUGGCGUCGUAGGUCUACAAAUGAGAGAUGAUGAGGUAUUACCAUUAGGACUUGGGAGGAGUUCUAGAGUGAAUUCAAGGGGUAGUUUUAACCAGAUUAUGCCGAGGUUGAGGUUCAGGCUAAGUUUCGUCAGCUUAUUCAACAAAGACUAGUUAGGGAGUAUGUGCAGUAUUUUAGUGAACUCAUGCUCCAAAUUUCUGAUAUGGGUGAGAAAGAGGCCUUGUUCUCUUCUAUGGAUAUGCUAAAGCCUUGGGCAAAGAUAAAGUUGCAAGGCCGAGGGGUUAAAGAACUUACCAAAGCCAAAAUCGUAGCAAAAUCCUUAAUCGAGCUUGUUCCGAGGAAAGACAAGUUCGAGUCUUCCAAGUCCAAAGAUAAGGGCAAUGGUGGAGGAGAUGAAGAAUAACAAGUUGAGAAUAACAAUGACAAUAAUGGUAAUAGAAAACUACAUAAUGGGAAGUAGAAGUGUAACAACAAACUAAAGGGGCAAGUUGUAAUAGCCCGAUUUUAGGCUUAGUCGGAACAGUGGUUUCGGGACCACAAAUCCGACGAAAAAAAAAUGUAAUGGCUUGAAUUUUCAGAGGUGUCGGAACGGUUAUUCGAGAUCACUAAAUUCGACAAAUGGGUAGAAAAUAUUAUUAAUUUAGUAAGUAUAAGUUAAAUAUGAAGUUAGGAAAAUUUUUGAAAUAGUGAAUAGUGCACUAGAAAUAAAUAUUAAAAUAAUUAGAAUCGAAAUGAAGUAUCAAGACCUCGGGGAUUUUAAACUGAGCCAUAAAUAUUUUUAUAAAUAUUUAUGGAGUGUUAAAAAGUUAGUAUUAAAGUUUCGUUAAGAAAUUUUAAAGUUCCGAUAAUUAAUUGAACAAAAAGGACUAAAUUGUAACAAAUGCAAAAUUUUGGGAAAUGAUUAAAUAGCUUAAAUGAUAAAAGGAAGAGGGCUUAAAAAGCAAAUAGACCCAAGGUCUAUUUGGGCUGGACGGCAGAGGCAUGAAAUCAGCAAGAAAGUAAGGAGAAUUAAGGGCAAAAUUGGAAAAUUGCAAAAUUUGCUUAAUAAAGUUAGGACCCAAGUGGAAUUAUCUAGAUUUCUCUUCAUUUUUCUGAAUUCUCAUCAGCUAAAACACCAUGGAAGGGCUUCUUCAAGCUGGUUCUUCAUAUUUUUAUUACAAGUAAGUUCAAUUCUUGACUAUUUCUUGAAAUUUUUGUAUUUUUAUGACUUUUACAACUAGGCCCACUUGUUAAAUUCAUUAGUUUUUGAUUUUAUGAAAGAAGUUGAAAGUUGAUAUGAAUAUGUGCUGGAAGUAUAUGAUGAUUUAGCAUGAAAUUAGAGCUUUAAAUUGUUCAUAUGCUGAUUUUAUUGAAAGAAUUGAAUAGAAAGUGAAUGUUUGGGACCUAAUAGUAAAAGAGUUUGAAGAUAGAGUUAUAUGUGGAAAUUCUGAAUUUCAAUAGUUGUGUAACAACUUAUAAUGUCUAGUAAAGUACUAAUUGAGAAAAUUAGAUUAAUUGAGGGGUUAAUUGAGAAAGGACCGAAUUGUAUAAACUGUGAAAUUUGGGGCAAAAUGGAAAUCAACAUUUUGCACUAAAGCAGUUUUGGACAGCAGCAGUAGUGUAACUUUGAAAAAUCACCAAAAAUUGUAGAGAUUGAAUUAGAGGAUGAAUAAAAUAUGAAAUUAAAUCUUAUUGAGUCUAGUUUCUUAUAAAAGAAAUGAUGUGAGCAAUGGAAUUGUAAAUCAUGAGAUAUAAUAGAUUUUGUGAGACAAUGUCAGAAUGAAUUCGGGUUCCCCUGUUCUGACUUUGGAAAAUUAUUAAAAAUUGUACAGAAAUUAUUAUGAGUUAUAGUUUAUAUGGUUAGAAUCCUUAAUGAGUCUAUUUUUAGAAGAAACAAGCUAAAACAUCAUCCGAAUUCUGUACAAUGAGAUAAUUAAUUUUUAGUGAAGAGUGGUCGGAACUGUCAGACAGCGAAACAGGGGAAACUUUAAAGAAUAAACUGUACUAUUUGGCUGAACCAAAAAUUAUGAAAAUUUUAUGGUAUGAAGAUAUGUGAGUCUAGUUUCAGGGAAAAUUAACGGAUCUUAAUUUGGAGCUCUGUAGCUCCGGAUAAAAAUAAUUUAGUGACUCUGACUCGGAUAAACAGCUUUGAAUAUACAUGUUAGUGAAUAUUGAAAUUAUGGUUAAUGUUGUUUAAGUGUGUUAUACACAUUAAGGAUGUGGAAUGGAGAGGAGGAGGAGGAAAAUUGGGAAAUAUAUGAAUGAUUCGUGUAUAAAUGGUCAUAUGUUUGAUUAUAACUCAUAAACGAUGAAAUAUGAAUGAUGCUUAUUUUUGUGCAUUAUUGGUCAUGGUUUAAGCUUAUGUGUGAAAAUAAAGUUUCAUAGUAUGUGUGUAUGGUAUAUUCAGUAUAUGAUUUGGCAUGAAAUAAUACCAUGAAUGGUUUAUGAAUUAACACAUGUUGGUAAGCCUGAUAUAUGAAUAAAUGAUCAAAUUGAGCGGAACGCCGGAUUUGAGUACUUCUGAUCAAGUGAUAAAGUGAUAAGUGGUAGCUUUAGCUACACUUAUCUGAUCAAGUGACAAGUGGAAAGUGAUAAGUGAUAGCUUCGGCUACACUUAUCUGAUCAAGUGAUAAGUGAAAAGUGAUAAGUGAUAGCUUCGGCUAUACUUAUCUGAUCAAGAGACAAAGUGAUAAGUGAUAGCUUUAGCUACACUUAUCUGAUCAAGUGACAAAGUGAUAAGUGGCUACACUUAUCUGAUCAAGAAACAAAGUGAUAAGUGGCUACACUUAUCUGAUCAAGAAACAAAGUGAUAGGUGGCUACACUUAUCUGAUCAGGGACAAGUGAUCAUACGUAAGACCAUAGUUAUACUAUGGCAAAGUGAAAGUGAAGUACUCAAUUUUCCGUGACCGUUCCCUAAUUUGAUUAAGGAUGGUAAGUGACAAAUGGGCCCAAAAGAAUUAAAGUAAAUGGAUAAGUGGUAGUGUAUUUAUAUCAGGACGAUGUUGUUAUUCAAACUAAAGUGAUAUUUUCAUUGCUAAAUUGAGAAUUUCAUAAAUGUGUUAUUGAAUGGUAUAAUCAAUAAACAUUGAGUUAAAUGGUAAAUACGUAUUAGUUUUGAAUUUGAUGUCAUUGAAUUGUACGUGAAUUAAAUGGAAAUUUCUAGUGAUAUGAUUUAAAUUAUGAGCAUGAGAAAUUGCGAAUUGAAUGAAAUGGAAAUGAAGCAUUAAAUUGCAUGAGUAUGUAUCGGGUCUCGCAGGCCCUAAUUAUUAUGAUUAUAAUAUUUUGAGGAUAUAUUGUGAAAAGUUAUAGAAACAUGUUAAUUAUUUUUGAAAGUUUUAAUUUUGAUGAAAUUUUAUAACUCGGUUAAAUACGUUUACAAGUGUAUGUGUUUUGGUAAUGCCUCGUACCCUAUUCCGGUGUUGGAUACGGGUAAGGGGUGUUACACAAGUGAUAUGCUUCCUUUACGAAGGUCCUCAUAUUGUAUGUGAUUGUCUGAAACGAUUUGUGCUUUCUGCCAUUGAAGGGGAUGAUGAGCUAGAAAAAGCACCAUUGAAGCUUGGUUGGAUCUUGAGUUUUGUCGAAGCUAAGAGGGUCAAAGAGAAUGAAAAGAAGAUAGUGAAAUGUUUCUUACGUUGUGGUCCACAUAGGAUGCAGGAUUGCCUAAAGCGAUCCAAGAUAUCCGCAAUCAGUAAAGAAGAUGAAGCAAAUUCAGAGAAAGACUUUAAAGCUUGGGUCAAUGAUACUCAAUUCUGCAAAAGUGAAGAGGGAUUACAAGCAGAAAGGGUUGAUGUUUAUGGACAUCAACAUCGUAAGGUAGAUAAAGAGUGCUUUUGUUGAUACGGGGGCAUCAAACUUGUUCAUAUCGAAGAAAGUCGGGGGUAAAUUUAGUCUCUCGAUUAGUAAAUUGAAUAAGAAGAUCAAUACCGUAAAUUUCAAAGAGGUCCCAACUGUGGGAGUAGUACAAAUAGUUGUGCUACAAAUCAGUCAAUAGAAAAGGCUAUGAAGACUUCAAAGUAAUUCACUUGGACACUUGGAUGAUUACUAUUUUGUUCUUAGCUUGAAUUUCCUUAACAAAAUUAAUUCUCUUUUGGUUCUUUAUUGUAUAUGUAUCUUGGAUACUUGAAAACAACAAUCCAUUAUGUCGUUGAGUUUAGACAUGAAGGGUGGAACCAAGGUAUUGUUGGCAAUCCAGCUAAACAAAGAUGUUUCAUGUGGAGGGAAUAUUAACUUGGUAGAACAGAGUAUUAAUGAGACCUCCUUGGAAAUGCUAGAGGUGCGACAAACUGAUAUGAAGCCUGUUGAGUUAUCAGCAGGGCUAACACCUAUGAGAGAGAUUAGUUGUGCAUCGGACAUUUCUAGCAAUGGCUUGAUCGACAUCAACUAAAAUUUCGCCCCCAUUGCGAACUACUUGCUCAGGAGGUUCUUCAUUUGCAACAGUUGUCAUACUUAACUCCAUGUUGUGAGCGUGAUAGCUAAUUCUACUACGGACUUGGGCUUGAUGCCUUGGAGAAUGUAGCGUAAGGCCCAAUUCAUGCCUUGUAUCCACAUAUUGAUGGUAGAUGAUUUUGACAAUUUCUGUUUGUAGUUUAGACUUAGAUUAUUCCAGUGGUGAAUGUAAUCGAUGAUUGCCUCGUCUUUUCACUAUUGUGAUCUUGUGAGCUCGACCAUGUUGAUAAUGCGACGAGUGCUAUAAAAUUGAUUGAGAAAUUAUUACUCAAGUUCUUCCUAGUUGUCAAUCAUUUUCAAGCUCAAGAUUUGUGUACCAAUUAAAGGCAUUUCCUUUCAAUGAUCAAAAGAAUUGUUUCACCAUGAAAUCUCUAUCAAACUAUUUCAUGAAACCAAUUUUUUACAUAAAAUAGUUUGAUAUAUUUUGAUAGAAUAUGAAAACAUGUGGUUUUAUGAAAAUAAGGAGUCAUUAUCGAAUUUUUUUUGGUGUAAUCGAGUCACCUAUAAAAUAAUCUUUUAAAAAGAAAAAUUUUAAUAUUCUUUAAAAAGAUAAUUUUACUCUAUGUCCAGAAAAUCAGAGUAAAAUUGUUAUUUAGGAGUUGCUCACGCGUGAAGAAGGUUUUAGUACCCUCGCUACACCUAAAAUUGACACAUCAAUAAAUACGUGUUGCCUCGAGUCUCAAAAAUUAAAAGUUAAAAAUUCAAUAUUUAAUUAUGAUCUCAAAUGUAUAUAUUUAUUUUUAUUAUUGGAUUUUUAAAUAUAUAUAUAAUAUUGGAAUAAAUAACAUAGAUAUUAAGUGCUUUCCUAUAUCUCUCUCGAGUCUACAACAUAUAGGAGUAAUAAUAAUCGAUGAAAUCUCUCCGAAUGAGGCGGAAAAAGUUAUAAAUUAUGGUAGUUCGAGAAAUAUUAUUUUUAUUAUUUUUAUCUAAAAAAUAAAACUUUUUAAAAAUAUAUUCUUGCAUAUAGGUUUUCACCAAAUGCAUUGAAUUUACCCAUGAAACAAGCCCCAUAUUGCAUUGAAACAGAACGUGUCCAAACAUUCAUGCCAAAAACACAUUAUAACUGCUAUGGUUUUCACCUUUGUUGGAUUAAUUAUUUAUUUGUUGAUUAAAUUAUUUAAAAGUUACUAUUUAUAUAAAUUUUUGUUAUAUAUUUAAAAUUUAAUCUCCACUAAUUUAGUUCUUUCACUUUUCAAAGUUAAAAUUUUUUAUCUAUCUAUUAAUAUUAUUAAUUUUUUUUUUAUUUUCAAAUUUAAUCUCAAAUUUAAGUUAAAUACUUAAGUUUUUUUUAGUUUCUUGACAAUUAAAUGAGUAGACGUUAAUCACGAAUUUUAAAAUUAUUUUAUACUCAGAACAAAUUUAAACUUUAAACCAUUAAUUAAGGUAGAAGAAAUUAUUAUCUCAUCUAAUCCGGGUUAUAUUUGUUAUAUAUUAAUACAGAAUACAAAACACAUGCAAUGAACGACACCCAAGCCUUAAAUUUGUGGAGAUCCAACAACACAAUGACAUGUUCAACAAAAUAAUAAACCAUGUUAACAAUAAAAGAGAAAUUAUAUUGUAGCCCAAUAACUUUGGGGGUAGAUUAGUUCAAUGUGCUCCUGCUCACUGUAUUUGAUCACCAUUUCUCCUGUGCAAGCUUCAUGCUCUCCUCAGGUAUUUAGAGGGUUUGGACUUGAUAUGGCCUUGCAAGUGGGCAGUGAUGAUGGCUGACAGCAUCGGGGUGUUUUAGCACAAGACAAAGGGUGAGGAUAUUGGUGACUGUGGUUUCCUUGGGGGGGAAGAUGGUGGCUAAAUUGAGGUCGUUUAGUGCUAGCUCACUGGGAUUAGAGAGUUGACAGAGAUUAGGAUAAAGAAAAAUGGUGAAAGAAGUAGUGGGCCGUUGGGCUCCUAUAGAAAAUAUGAAGAAGACGAUCUGCAACAGUUUCUUAUCUCUCUUUUUCCGCUCCUUUUAAUCGUGCAACUCCCUUUUUAUUGAUUUUUCAUCUUUUUAAAAACUGCCAUGAGGCAUUCUUAUCUUUUAAUAACUUUGCCUUUUAGAAAAGAGCAGAGCUAACUACUAGACAAUGUUUAGCUCCCUGCUAACAUCUUGGAAGAAACAGCGUGCAUCUGCAGCCAACAAAGGUUCAGCCGACACCGGAGCUGUGUGGAAAGCAUUAAACUCAUUCAGCUGGGAAGAACGGAUCGGUGGCAGAUGAUCAGCAACUUGGUCCAAAGCACGGCCAACAUGUCUUAGACAUAUACGUUCCAAUUACGCUCACACAACGCAUGCGCUAACCGCAACUCACCAAAGCUGCUGUCCACAGUAACACCACUCCUGAGAAGGGCAUUAUCACUCUCCGCCGCCACACUAUGGAAGCCCCUAUCCCAUGCAAACUGAAGUCCGACGUACAACGCACGUGCCUCUAGUUGGAAAACCGACGAAACAUCAAUUGACAUUGUGAAGCCACCUAGCCAUUCCCCACAACAAUCUCGGACAGCACCACCAAUACAAGCACUGUUACGUCGCUCAGACAACGACCAUCGACGUUGACCUUGACCAAUCCACAUUCGGUGGUUGCCAACACAUACGAGAAUAAGAGCAGCUAGAGAGACGGUUGGGAAGAUCCAUAGUGAUAAUUGCUUGCCCACACGCAAUACUCGCUACCACCACAUGCUUGCUGCUACCAUUGGAAUUACGAAAGAUGAAAUCAUUGUGGCUCGUCUACAACAACCAGCAAGUCACUGGAAACAACGUGCACCAAUGGACCUAGGUCGAAUGUAAGACGACAAAACUAUCCAAAUUCUACCACAACCAGCGUGCGAGUCCACUGCUGAAAAAACGACCCAGAAACUCACGGAAUAGGGGAAAGCCAGAAAUAUUGAUAAGAAGGCCGGGAUAUUUAAAAAUAGAUACGUUAAAACUAGGUCUGGCCUAUUAAAUGUGAGAUGAUUUUGAUAAUCAAAACAUUUAGAUGCUUAAUUUUAUUGAAAUUGAAAUUAUUUAAGUAUUAAUUAUUUUUACCAAAUUAAUAUUUAAAAACUAUUUUGUAUUAGCUUACCAAUGUUAUUAAAUUUAUUAUAGAAAAUUAUAAAUUCUAUAAAAGAAAUCAAAUUAAAAGAAACUUUAGAAAACUUUGAGGGACCAAACACAAAAUUAUCUUAUUUUUAAACAUUAAUUAUAAGAUUAAAAUUAAAAAAUUAAAAAUUAAAAGAGUUAAACUGAAAUUUUAAAAAAUUUAGGGUGUAAAAUCCCUAAAGUCGCCCCCUAAAUUUAACAAAAUUUGGUUCAAUGAAGUGAAAACAUAUACUUAUGUUGCUAGAGCCAGUUUUGAAAUUAUAUAAUAAUACUUUGUGUUUACUUUUUGGAUUAAGCUUUUGAUUAAAAUCUGAAACUAAGUAAGUGGGUAUUAAGGCCCGAAGCCUGAUUUAACUGAAAGAAAUUAUGGGCAAAACUUGUCCAUAUAAGGUGACAAAAAUUAUCCAAAUUUAUGGGCCUUCAAGCCUUACCCAGACUAAAAAAUAAAUGAUGAUGCUUUUAAGUUAUAUUAAUUUUGCUACUUUGGUCCAUGUUUUCUCUUUGAGAAUAUGCUUCUUUUGUUUUCAUGUUAGGGUUCAUAAUUAUUCCGUGUUUUAAAGGUUUAAGUAUGCAUUCUUUCUUUGAAAAUGCAAUAUAACUUACUAUUACAUCUGACACACUUAUUAGUUACUAUAGUUCGUAUUGAUUAGACAUAAUAAAAGUUAUAUUUGAUGCAUUAUCGCUAUAAAAAUAAAAAUACAAAAUUAAAUUUUUAAUAAAAUUUGAUGUUAGGUAAAGUUAUGUAUUGUGAUUGUAUUAAAUAUGAAUUCUUAAAUGUAAUAUAUAUAUAUAUAUAUAUAUAUAUAAUCAACAAGUAUUGGGUGUAAUGACAUUAUAUUUUUAAGAGAAAGUGAAGGUUUGAGCUUUAUAAGUGAUUUUGUUGGAAGGAACAAUCAUAAAUCAUGAAUAUAGAUCAUAAAACGGACAUGAAUAAUGAAAAAAGUAAAAUAUUCAUAAACAUAACAAACUUUAAAUAAAAUCUCAAAUCCGAGGUUAAAAUGAAAAGAAAAAAUGUAGGUAGAUGAUGAAGUGAAUGAAUAUUUGAAGGCAAAUAAUUGCGGUCCCUUCGGAAACAAAAUAUUAAAAGCUAUGACUUGUCGGUCUGGAUUGAAAUUAUAUGUGUUUCAAAAGACAUGUUCCGUUGUCCUUUUAUGGCAGCCUCUGGUAUUUUUUCACCCUGCAUUUCUUGACAUGAUGUUGAACCAUAAAUUCUGUUGGCAGACUGCUGCAUUGAAUCGAUCGAUGUGAAAAAUGAAAAUCCAGAAGAGGGGAAAUUAUUUGCAACGUUUGUGACAUAAAAUUGAUGUAAAAGAAGAUUGAAAGCUUGAAUAAGAUGAUAAAAGCCAUUCUUAAUCCUUGUGAUCUCUUUUUAUAUUUACUGAUACCUUUGUUUCACUUGCUGUCUUUAUGGGUUGGAUUAUAUAUUAUUUUCUACAACUUGAGGAAAGAUUAUGGAAACACCUCUUCCAUGUAUUAUAAUAAGUUUUCGGAAUAAUGUAAUAUUUGGUACCUUUUUCAUGAAAUAUCAGUAUUUGUACUUUAAAAAUAUUUAAUGUGAUACUUAUAGUAUUUCUACUUUCAGAAAAUAUCUAAUGUGAUGUCUGUAUUUUGAAAAUGUCACAUGUAGUUCUUGAACUAACAAUAUGUUUUUUUUAUUAAGGUACUUGAUGUUAACAAUUGUUAGUGAAUUGGUAAGCUAGCCAAUGAAAGUUCAUCAAGUAUAUAUAUAUUUUUUCAAAUCAUCAAGUCCAUAUGGAUAAUAAAACAUCAUGAGAAAAACAAAACAAAUAAAAAAAAGAAUUUAAAAACAAAUAAAUAAACAUAUGGUUAAUAAAAAAGAAAAAAAAUACUAAAUUUAUUUUUGAUUAUCUCAUGUAAAUUUAGUAUUUACUUCUUCUUUUUAUUAACCAUAUGUUUAGUUAUUUUCUUUUUUAAUUUAAAUUUUUGUUUUAUUUAUCUAUUUCACAAAAUGUUCUGCUUGAUGAUUUGAAAAAAGAAUUCUAAUGUCAAAUUGGCUAGUUUAACAAUUUAUUAGACGUAUUAACACUAAGCACAAUAAUAAAACACAUUGAUAAUUCAAAUAUCACAUUAAAUAUUUUUAAAAUACAAGUACCAACUAUGACAUUAUCCCAUUUUUAACACUUAUAGAUUAUUGAGUAAUUUUAAACUCAUCAUAUUUAAACUAACAUUACACCCUAAAAGUUACAAAAAAAAAAAAACCAAUUUAAGAUUUGACAAAAUGUAUGUAGAAUGAACCUUUGUUUUUAUCAUAUUAUUAGGAUGGUUCAUUUACACUUCACGUUAAAUUGAUUAUUUGUUUGUGUCAAAUUAUUAGAGUAAAAAUUUGAAGAUUAAAAUAUACUCUUUAAGUCCCUGUACACUUUGUAUAUUUGGAGUUUAAUACCUCUACUUUUACUCUUAAGAGUUUAACACUUUUAAUUUUUAGAUUUAAAAAUAUGCUUUUAAAUUAUAUAUAACUACAUAAUAUUUUAAUCGAAAAGUUAAUAAUAUUAACUAUUUACACUAAUCAGUAACAUUAUAAAAAUAUAGUGACCAAAUUAUGUUAGAAACUAAAAUCUAAAGAUUAAUUUUCAAAUUGAAGUAUAAGAAGGCACCAUCAUAAAGGAAGGUCAUACCAUUUUAUUAUUCCGAGCAAACAUACCUUAUUUUAGUCUAAAUUUAAUAAAAAAAUUAAAUAAUUAAUUUUUUAAUAAUUUUAUUAUAGGUUCUGAUUAUAUUUAUUUUUUUAUAUAAUAUCUAUAACUAUUUAUAACUCUUUUCUAACCCAUAAAUAAAAAAAUAAUAUGCUUCAGUAUAAUCGAAUUCAUAUUCUCCUAUAUUAAUAAUAAUAUUCAUGCUAAUCGAAUUAAAAUUCAAUUAAUAAUUAAUUAAUUAACUAGAGACAGUUGUAAUUAAAUACUGUAAAUGGGUCAAAUAGAGAUCUAAUCAUAUGAAUAACAAAAUGGGAAGGACCUCUUGAAUUAUACAUUAUUCAUUUCUGCCAAAUGCUUAAAACCAUUUCCCUCCCUAAACAUGUGUCACCAUGGCAACACUCUUAUAAUAUAUGGUUAUAGAGAUUACCAUCGUUUCACAUUGCAAAUUCAAAGCAGAGGAUUUUCCGAUGAAUUCAAUAUCGGAAUAUUAAUUCAAAAUUCUCCCCCCCCCCCCCCCCCCAAAAAAAAAAAAUAAUAAUAAAAAUAAAUAGAAAGACAAAGCGAGCAAGCCUUAAGUGAGUAAAAAAAGGGGGGAGGGGGUAAAGAAAAAAAAAAGAGACGUGCACGCAAAGCGAGGGUGAUUUGUCCACACUCCCUUUGAUGUAAUUAAAGAGGAUUUUGUCUGGUUGCGUUUUUAGACACAGAUUGACGCGUUUUAACGUCGCCAUUCCUUUCUUUAUUCUUAAUUAUUUAUUGACUUUGACUUUCCCACCUCCUAUUUUUAUUUUUAAAUUAUAUUAAUUUAUUAAUUUAAUGGUUAAAUAAAAUGUUAAAUUUUAUAUGAAUUUAAGCUUUAAAGACACAUUUAAUUUUUACUUUUAAUUAAAAAAAUGUGACAUAAAAUUGAAUAUAUGAAUAUAAUAUAAUAAAGGAAAAGAAAGGCAGAGAGUGGUAAGCUAGCUUCCCAUUGCCGCAAUCUCCGCUGGGCAUUUCUCAUUCCUCUUCUUUCACACCAUGCCAUACAUUAUUACAGCAUUAUAUACAAAUAUAGAAGUAAUGAUAUUAACAUAAAAUAUGAAAUUGGAUUAUAAUAUUCUCACAUCACUUCUAGAAAUAUGUUUAUGUCAACGGCUUUCUAUGUUUCCUUUUUGUAAUUUAAGACACGACAGCUCUUUUUUACUUGUCAAUGUCUUUUUAUUUUUGGAUUUUCCUAAGAAAUAUGUUUACCAUACUUUAUUUUAUAUAUUUAUGCUUUACAAAAUUUUAAUUAAAAUUCUCAACCACUACCAUUUUAUAAAACAUUCAUUAUGAAUAUGAGGUUAAUUAUUUUAAAGGUAGAACUAAGUUAAUUUCACGAGUCAAUCAAGCAUCAAUAUUAAAACGUUAUUUUUGUCUUUUUAUAUUUUUAAUAAAACCAUUAAAAAUCUUGCAUGGGGUGAGAUUUGGAUCCUUGUCACCCAUAUUUAGAAAAUUUUAUGAGUUAAUUGUACUCAACAUCCCUAGACUAUGAUUUACAUUUUAAAUUAGUCUCUAAACUUUAAAAUAUUCUAAUUACAUCCUCAAAGUAUCAAAAUUAUGUCAAUUAAGUCUUUCUAUUAAAAAAAUUGUUAAUUUAACCAUUAAAUGACACGUCUAUCAUAUGUGGCAUGAUUUAAAAUGAAAAUUUUAAAGAAAACUUAAACAUUGCCUCAUAACUUUUAAAAGUAAAACCUAAAAAUAAAGUAAAACUAAAAAAGAGAAUGAACAAUAAAAUUUCUAUAAAAGCUUUAAAAACCUCAAAAUAAAUAUUUUUACAACUUUUCUUCUUACAAUAUUCAAUUUUCUUUUUAGCUUUCAUUUUAAAUUGUGUCACAUAAGAUUUGUUGCGUAACUUAACGAUUAAAUUAAUUAUUUUAAUAAUGGAAGGACCUAAUUGAUAUAAUCUUGAUAGUUUGGAGAUGUAAUAAGAGUGUUUUGAAGUUUGGGGGCCAAUUCAAAAUAAGGAUCAUAGUUUGAGGAUGUUUGGUGCAAUUAACUCAAUUUUUAUCUUUACCACUUCAACUAAAACUUUGUUUUGAUUUUUUUUUACAUUUUAAUAUUAUUACCCAAACUUUUUCACCCACAUCAAAGUAAUUUGUUUUAUUUUAAUUCCCUAAAUAUUGUAUUAUUAUUAUUAUUAUUAUUAUUAUUAUUAUUAUUAUUAGUUUCAAAUCAAUGGUGGAUCCUAAAACUAAGUUCUGGGUCCAACAAAAUUUUAAAAAAUUUGAGGAGUUAAACGAGAAUUUUCUUAAAAAAAUCGAGUCUCAUUAAAAUUUUUAAAAUUUUUGUGAGAUUAAUAAGAAUUUUCAAAUAUUUUAAAUCAGCUUAAUUAAAAUUUUCAAAAAAAAAAUUAAUGAGAAUUUUCAAAAAUUUGAGAGGUCAAAUUAAAAUUUUAAUAACUUCAAGGAAAAAAUGAAAUUUUUCAAAGAUUUUGGGGCUUAAAUUUUCUUUUUUUAAUUUUAAAGGGAAAAUCAUAACUUCCCAAAACUUUGAUUGGAGGGCCAAGGCCCCAUGCCUUUUAAACGGUCUACCUCUAUUUUAAACCAUUUUUUAUUGGAUCUUAUUUGUAAAUGCACGCACGUGUCUUAUUACUUGACGUCUACAUAAAUACAUAUAAGGGUGUUCAGUUGGUUAACCGACUCAAAAUACUAUUAAUUAAAUUAAUUGAUCUUUUAAAAUUUUAACCGUUAAUUGAAUCAAAAUUUUUUUAGAAAAAAUUAAUCGAACCGAAAUUUUUUCAAUUAAUUCGGUCGGUUAACCGAAUUAACCAAAAAUUAUAUAUUUUUUAUUUUUGGUUAAAAUAAGUAUAAAAUUAACCGAAGUAAUCGAAUUAACCGAACUAACCGAAUCAACUGAAUUAAAGUAUUGAAUCACUACAUAAUUAAAAACAUUACAUAAGUCUUGAAAUUAACACAUAAUUGAAAUGUAAGUCUUUAAUAUUCUCCAUUUGUACCCAUUUCUUCUCUCCAGAAGCUCCAUUUGCAUUAAACCUACAAAAAAAAUAUCUGCAAAAAAUUAGCAUAUAAUAGAAAUAUACGCAUUUAAAAAAAUCAAAUAAUAUAAACAAAUGAAUAGAUUGUAAGUUAACAAGAAUAAGAUAGUAAGCAUACCGUUCAACUCACGAAAGCUCAUGAAUUUAGGGUAGACUCAGAUGCAUUCUAAUAAAAGUCUAAACAUUGAAUCAAUUAAAUAAGUAGGAGUGAUAUGGUAAAAAAAUUAAAACUAUUAAAAUAAAACAAUAAAUAUACCAUUUUCAAUCUUGUCAAGCUCUUGGAUUUGUUCUCCAAUAUUUUUUAUGUCUUCUUGUGAUGAUGAUUUUCGAAUCCAAUCUUGAUUACACACAAGAGCUUGUACAAUUUUAGGAGUUAAAGAACACCAAUAUUGAUCAAGCACACGUCCCCGGUGCUAAAUGCAAACUUUGAAGCAACCGUAGAAAUCGGUAUAGCUAACACAUCUCUGGCUCUUUUUGAAAGAGUGAGAAAUCUAGGGUUGUUCACUUUUCACCAUAAUAAAAUAUCAAAAUCUUCAAAAAAUUCCUCGUUAGCCUCAGCUAGAUAUUUAUCCAACUCAGAUGUUUUAUCCUCAUCACCAUUUUCCAACUCACGCUUUUUAUACAAAGCUUGCAUUCACCUUUUCAUUUUUUGUUGUGGUUCACCGAGAGAUAUAUGUGUUGGCACACUCGAUUGGCUACAAGUACUAUGAAGUGGAGGCUUAUACUCAUCAAACAAUUCAUACAAAGAUUUAUUCAAUUUUUGCAUCAUUUCACAAGCUUUUUCAGAACUAGAAAUUUCACUAACUGUGUAACACCCUCAACCCGUAUCCCUCGCCAGAACCGGGUUACGGAGCAUUACCGGAGUCUACAGAUCAAAUAGACAAAAAUUUCCAACAUUUCAUAUCAUCAAAACAAGUUAUCAAAGCAUCAUUUUAAUCCAAAUUUUAAACAUAUCAAAUCCAAAUCAAUUUUGCCUAGUUCAUGUGUACUUAAACAUAGAAUUAAAUUCACAUGCACAUAUCUAGAUUUAGUUCAAUUUUGCCAUGCCAUAAUAUGGCUUUAAAAAAAACAAACACAUAUUUAUAUAUAUAACCAACCAAAAUUAAACUUAUAAUCUCAUUGACAUAAAAUUCAUAAAAUAAGUAUUAUUUAGACACCCUAGGUACAUGCCGACACAAAGGAUAAACAACACCACCUUUGAGUUCGGGAUUGUUGUUGGAUGCUGAAUCAACGAUCAAAAGUUAAGUACCUAACCUGCACACGGGAAACAAAAUCGUACGCUGAGUACAAACUCAGUAGUAUUUCUAUAAUCUGAAUAUUUUAAGAUGAGAAAUUACAAAUAUACAAUUUAAAUAUAAACACAUAUUAAUAUUUAAUUAUUACAAUAACCAUAUCAUAUUUCAUUUGUUUCACAAAUAUCUCAAUUCUCAUAUUUGCUAUAUAAAUAGCUUUUCACAAUUUAUUUCACAUUUCAUUAUACAAUUGCAAUAUCCAUUCCAUAGUCAUUUCAUGAGUAUAUAACUCAUAUAUUCCAUACAUUUGUAACAUAUUUCACAUUCUAUUUUCAAUUCACUAUUUCACUUCCAUUUCUCAUGCCAUACCAUUUCAAUAUCAAUUAUAAAACAUUAUUAUUCAUAUAUCCCUAUUAACACGACUGGGACGAAUACACGAAUCCAACCAAAACACACUAGCUAGUUUGUCACCUAGUGCCUCAUCGAAUAAUUUGAAGUAAUAAUUUGACACCCAGUGUCUCAUCGGCUAAAUCGAAGUAAAUUGGCACCCAAGGCCUAAUCGAAUUAAUCCAAAGUAGUAAAUUGACACCUAGUGUCUCAUCGAUUCGAAGUCGAAGAAAUCCUUGAGCUAUUCCAAUCCUAUGGCAUGCCAUCUAUAUUCGACUCAACCCAAUACAGUUAAUAGGGUUCCAAUUCACUUUUCAAAUAAAAACAAUAUUCAUUUCAAUUCAAAUAAUCAAUAUAUUCAAUAUAUAUACCAAUUCAAUCAAUAUAAAUUCAAUAAAUUCAUCACAUACUAAAUCAAUCCAUUUUAAUUGCAAAACACAAUAAUUCUCACCUCAACACUUACCAUGUACAUUAAAUUGAAUUAUAACAAUUAAUAACUAAAUUCAGAUUAUAGAAAUACAAACCAAGAAUUCAGAGCUAUUCCACGUUAACUUUAUCUUUCCCCUUUUUAGUUAAGGGUUCCGGUACGAUAUUAGCUACGAAAUAAAAAUAAUUAAAAUUCAUUAAUACAAUAUAAUUUAAUUUCAUAUUAAAAAUUUCAAUUUUUACUCAAUAUUUGCCUAAUUUCUAAUUUAGUCCCUAAACCGAGACUAAUUUUAUUUCUUCACAAUCAAUUCUAUAUUUUCAUUCAAUUUUCACUUUAAACUAGAUUUGGCUCUCUAAUUUAUCUUAAAUCCCUAAUUUUCAAAUUUUUCACAAUUUAGUCCCUAUUAUUCAAAAUUUACAAUUUAUUCUACAAUUCAAUCCUUUUUUCAAUUCUAACUUAAAAAUCUAUCAAUUUAAUCUCUAAUACUAAAAUUAUUCAACGUUAACAACAUUUAAAAACUCAGUAAUUUCUAAAAUUUUGACAUGCGUCUUGUAGUAUUUAAUACCGGAAUUUCAAAAACAUAAGAAUUACAAAAAAUGGACUAAAUUGACUAACCAAUUGAACUUGGAACUUUGAAACCCUAAUUUUCUCCUCUCUUUCUUUUUCUCCUACUUUGUUUUUACUUCUCUGUUUCUUUCUCUAUUUCUUUUUCUUUUAUUUCUUUGUUUUAUUAUAUAAUAUAAUAUAUAUAAUCUAUAUACUUAAACAUUAAGAUAAUAUUAUAAUAUUAUAAUAUAUAUUUUAACUUUAAAUUUUUUUAAUAAUAAACACUUAUGCCGCUUCAUUUAUGAGCAAUGGCAUAAUUGUCUUUUUAGUCCCUUUUAGUUUUUCUUUAAUCUAUAAUUCAACUUUCACCUUAUAUGCAAUUUAGUCCUUAUACAUAAUUACUCUUAAUUUAUGCAAAUUCACCUAACCAAAACCUAAUUAACUACAUAGCUAGCUUCUUAUGAGUCCGAUUUACGGGAACAGAGUCUCGGGAAUGCACUUUUUUUAAUUUAGUCCUUUUUAAUUAAUUAGCUAUCGAAACGUUAAAAUUUCUUAACGAAACUUUAAUACCACCUUAAUGACACUUCGUAAAUAUUUAUAAAAAUAUUUACGGCUCAGUUUAUAAAAAUAAGAUCCCGAUACCUUAUUUUUUAAAAUCACUCGAACUUAAUAAAUCACUUAUAUAGCAUAAAUUAUCAAAUCAAAAACCUAUUUACGAACUUACUCGUCGGAUUUGGUGGCCCCGAAAUCACUAUUUCCGACACCUCUGAAAAACGAACUAUUACAAAGUGUAAAUUCAAGAUACUUUAGUUUUUGUCUAGAAUCUAAAACACAAGCAACAAACAUAAGCAAAUUCAUCUUAUCAAUAUCACCCCAAUACUUAUCAUACUUCUCUUUCAUCUUAAUGGUCAUAACAUUAAAAUCAACAUUACUAUUUAACUGAGCAUCUCGUAAAAGAAUAUCAAUUUUAGAAAGCUUGUCAAAAAAAUUUAUUGGACGUGACAUAUGAAGUGUCAAUUAUACGCAAAGUGACUUUAUAAAAGUGUUCUAAGAAAUCCUUCAAGUUUCUAGCAUUAGCCUAAUCAUCCACACUAGGCCAACCCUAUCUCCUUUCAAGUUUAGCCUUAAUGUUUGUAUCUUGCUCCUCAAAUCUCUCAAAAGCUUUCUCAAAGUUCUGAGCAGUGUCUAACUUAAGUAGGUCGAGUUUCACCUAGUACAAACAUCAAGACACAACAUCUUCUUGCACUCUAUCUUUUUCACCACACCACACUCCUUAAACUUUUAUAAUCUAGCCAGAGAUUGUCUCACAUAUCUAACAGCACCCUAACACGUUCAACAGAUUUAUUCAUUUCCUUUAAGCUUUCAACAACAAUCAAAUUCACAAUGUGUGCCAUACGUCUCAUAUGAAGAUAUUUACCAUUUUGAACUAAACCCCCUCGAGGGUUAAAUUUUUUUCUCAAAUAACCAAUAGCAACAUCAUUUGAACUUGCAUUAUCAAUAGUAACAUUACACAACUUAUCAAUCCCCCAAUUCAACAAGCAUUUCUCAAUCAGCAUCCUAAUAGACUCACCCUUAUGACUAGAAAUUGGACAACAGUUUAAAAUCUUUUUAUUCAAUUUCCAAUCGUUAUCAAUAAUGUGAGCAGUAAUACACAAAUAAUUAACUCUUUGUAAAGAAGCCCACGUGUCAGUAGUUAAGCAAACUCUAGAAACAAAACUUCUCAAAAGUUGUUUUAUCUUGACCCUUUCAUCUAAAUAUAAUUGAUAAACAUCUCUAGUCAUAGUAGUUCGUAAAGGAAUAUGAAAGCUAGGACAUGCCACAAACAUAAAUUUCUUAAAAACUUCACUUUCAACAAACUUGAAAGGUAAUUCAUCAAUCAUAAUAAUUUGUGCUAAUCCUUUCCUACACGCUUCUUAAUCAAAUUUCCAAGUCGAAAGAUACCUUUCCCCCAUUCAAUUCCUUUUCUAGGUAAAACUAAUUGUCCUUGACUAGUGUCAACAACAUUACUAAGAUUUUUUUUACAUGAACCAAUAUGAUAUUUCAAUGAACUUGUACCAUUUUUUUCAUAUCACAAUAAAAUUUCUUUUGACAAUAAUUACAUUUAGCCUUACUUGCACCCUCACUAUUAAUAAUUUUAGUGAAGUGAGACCAAACUUCUGACCUUUGAGGAGUGGUUUUUCUUUUCCUAGUAGUCCCCUUUGUUUGGCUUGAAGCUCCAACUCCCGAAUUUUCAGAAUCUAUCAAAGUAGGAGGUGUAACACUACCCUCAAUAGAUGUUGCUUUGGUGGACAUUCUGCAAGAAAAAAAUUAUAUAAUAAAUUAAAAUACAUUUAUAAUAUUAAACAUAUUUUGAUGUUGAUUUUUAGAGAAAUAAAUUUUGAUUUUAUCCAACCGCUACACUCCAUCUAACCAUCUAACUUUUCUAGGCCUUGUAUGUAAGUUAUAACAGUGACAUUCCAAAUAGUGUAGAAAGAACUAAAAGAUGCAAGAAAAAAUUGUGAACUUUUUUUGUAACACCCCUCACUCGUAUUCAUUGCCGGAAUAGGGUUACGGAGUAUUACCAAACUUAUAACACAAUUAAACAUACAUUUCUCAUACAUUUUUCCAUUUUCAAAUAUAAAACAUUCACAUUCAUUCAUAAUGUCCCUAAUACGAGCAUACGAUGCUCAAAACAUGCAUUAGGAGUGGUUUGGGACUAAACUGAUAACUUAAAAAAAUUUUCAAACUAUAGGAGACAUAUGCCCGUGUGGCCCAGCCGUGUGAGAAACACGCCCGUAUCACGGGCCAUGUAGUCAUUGAAAAUGGGAUCAUAUGGCCGUGUCCCAGCUAGUUUCCUACCCUGUGUAACUCCCUAACUUGGGUCACACGGCCAACCACAUGCCCGUGUAUCAGGCUGUGUGCUAGCUCGUGCCAAUCCUGUAGGGUAUACUGACUUAUGCCACAAGGCCAAGUUACACAUCCGUGUGUUGGGCCGUGUGGAGCAUAUUGACUUGAUUUCUAAUUCAACACUAGGGGACACACAGCCAUGUAACCUGGCCGUGUGUCACACACGAUUGAGACUGUAACACCCCUCAUCCCUAAACUACCGCCGGAAUAGGGUUACGAGGCAUUACCAGACAUAUCGGAUAAUUUACAAAUAAUUCUUAAAUAAAUAACAAACAUGUUAUAGAAUAAUCAUAAAUUCAUAUAAACUUUUACUAAUUGACUUCAUUCAUUCGUUUUUUUAUUUUUUUAUUAAAUAAAAAUUCAAUAUAACCCUAUUAUAAAUAUCUAACCUUCCUUGCAAUUUCAAAUCACAACCAAACCAACUCCAGUAUUUCAACCAAUGCAUUUAUAUACUCAAAUAUGCUUGAAUCAUACAUGACAUACUGACUUAACAACUUAAAUAAUGAAAACCCUACUAUUAUUUUUAAUUAGCUCUUAAAACUAUUCAAGCCAUUUGAAUUCAAUAUCAAUGCUAUAACAAGUUCUACCAUUUCACUAAUUUAAUCAUCAAAAUACCAAAUACCUUUCUUUACAACAAAAAUUAUAUAACAUACUAAAAUAACUAUUAAAAUCCCUAUGUACAUGCCACUUUCACUUAAGGGAAGGAAACAUCACCAAAAUCUUUUUGUUGGAGUCGGGAUCGUUCGGAUAUUGGACUAGGACACUGGACUUCUAUUAAUCUGCACACGGAAACAACCGUACGCUGAGUAUUUCAUACUCAGUGGCAUUACCAUAAUUCAAAUUAUAAACAUAAUAAUAAUAUAAAUUAAAUAAUCUAACUUCAAUAUUUACUAAACCAAUUCAAACAUAAAUUUGUCAUUCUCAAUAUAUUCAUACAAUUUAAUUUAACUAUUCGUCAAUUGAAAUCAUAUACAUUCAUGUUGAGCCAUUAUCUAAUUCAUGAACCAUUGGUUCGUGCUUUCCAUUCUCAUACUCACAUUCAAAUCACAUUUUCAAUUCAUGUUCCAUUUUUACAUUUCUUUCAAUGGCUCAACCAAUUCCUUUUAUUCAACUUAACUUUUCUUUUAAUUACCCCUAUUAACAGACUCGGACUUUGGUGGAUACACGGAUCCAACCAAACACACCAGUUUGGCACCAAUUGCCUCAUCGGAUAGUUCGAAGCAAAGUUGACACCUAGUGUCUUAUCGGCCCAGCCAAAGUAAAGUGGUACCCAGUACCAAAUCGAAUCUAUUCGAAGUAACAGUAUGACACCCAGUGUCUCAUCGACUCAAGGUCGAAGUAUCCCUGCACACUUCCAAUCCUAUGGUAUGCCAACUAUAUUCGACUCAGCUCGACUAGUUAAUAAGGUUUCCGGAUCACAUAUAAAUCACAAUUCAGUUACAAUAUCUCACAUUUUCAAUUCAAUCAUUUUUCCACUUUUCAAUCAAAUUUUCAAUUCACAUAUUCAUAGUUCAAUACACUUUCUCAAUUCAAUAUGCAUUUCAAUUAUUCACAUAUAAUCACAAUUCAAUUUAAUUUCAUACAAUUCAAUACUAAUACUUACCAUGUAUAUCAACUUAAAAUUCAAUAAUUAAUAAUAAUUAAAUUCGAAUUAUAGUAAUACCAACACAUAUUUCUCAUUCAAUUCAAUUUUCUAAAUUCAAUUCAAUAAAAUUACUUACCUCAAUAUUUACUUACUAUAAAAUAAAUAAAUUUAAAUUAAUAGUUAAUAAUAAAUAACUUGAAUUAUAGUAAUACAAACCCAGAUUUGUUCGAUUACUCCUCGACAACUUUUUCUUUUCCUUUUGGUGCCGAUGCCUCGGGUUCUUUGCUAGCUACAAAAGUUAAAAUAAUUAUACUACUAAUUACAGCACUAAUUAUAAUAAAUAAUUAAAUUUCUAAUAAUUCCUACCUUAUUCCCAAUUUAAUCCUAACUAAUUUUACUUACUUUUUUAAUUCAAUUCACACUCUAUUUCUAUUCAAAUUUCAUCCAUACUCAAAUUUAACUAUUAAUUUUUCAGCAUAUUUUCUUAAUUUCUAAAUUUUCUCAAUUUAGUCCCUACAACAUAAAACUUAUAGCUCACUUCACAAUUUAAUCCCUUUAUUAAUUCUAACUUGAAGUUCUUUCCAUUAAAUCCCUAAUUCCAUAAUUUGUCCAACAUGAACCCUACUUGAAAACCUAAGAACUCUCAAAAUAUUAACUUAAUUUCAUCAAAACCUUGUUUUUAAACUUUUAAAACAUCAAAAUUAAGUAAAAAGUACUCAAUUGACUUACCAAUUAAAGCUUAAAGCUCCCAAACCCUAGUUUCUCCUUUUUCCUUUUUCUUUUCUCCUUUCCUUUCUCUGUUUCGAAUGGUUCUAUUCUUUUCUUGUAUUUGUUUCUCUUUUUACUUUGUUUUAUUAUAUGCUUUAUUUAUUUAUUAACUUAAUUAGUUUAAUAUAAUAAUAAUUAUAAUAAAUAUCUACUUAAUAACAAAUGUAUGUAUUACAAUUAUACACAUAUAUGUUUUUACAUUUGUAUAUUAUCAUCCACAUGUCCUUACUUUAUUUAUUUCAUAUUAUUAUUAUUAUUAUUAUUAUUAUUAUUAUUAUUAUCUUUUUACUUAAAUUUUAAGUAAAUAACUAUAUAUAUUUCAAGUGUACCUAUUUAAUUAUUAUUUCAAUACACUUGUAUACUUCAUCACCCUGUACUUUACACACAAUUAGAUUUAUUUAUUUAUUUAUCUAUAAUUCAUACUAUAAUUUAAAUAAAAUAAUAAUUAUAUAAUAUAAUAAUUAAUAAAUUAAGAAAAAUCUUAGAUUUUUCUUACACUUAUGCCGCCUCAUUCUAUAGUAAAUGGCAUACUUUCCAUUUUGGCCUUUUUUAUUUUAUUUUAAUCUACAAUUAAACUUUUAUUCUUUAUUCAAUUUAGUCCUUUUUACUAUUUACACUAAAUUAGGCUAAAUUCGCUUAAUUAAAUCCUAAUUAAGCACUCGACUAAACUCAUAAUUACUUGUAAUAAUUAUUUAUGACUCGAUUUACUAAGACGGAAGCCUUAUAACUCACUUUUCUGAUGCUCGUGAAUUUUGGGUCAUUACAUUUCUCCACCCCUUAAUAAAUUUCAUCCUCGAAAUUUACCUUACCUGAUAAAAGAUGAGGAUAUUGUGCUCUCAUCGUUUCUUCUGGUUCCCAAGUCACUUCUUCUACACUAUGACUCCUCCAUAAAACUUUUACUAAGGGAACUCGUUUAUUUCUUAAUUCCUUUACCUCUCAUGCUAAAAUCUGAACCGGGUCUUCUUUAUAGGACAAAUCUAGCCAAAUUUCAAUGUCUUCGGUGGAAGUGAUAUGUGAAGGAUCCGACCUAUAUCUCAAAAGUAUAGAAAUAUGGAAAACAUCGUGAAUCUUCUAAAACUCUGAAGGCAAAGCUAAUCGAUAGGCAACCGGUCCAAUUCUUUCCACUAUUUCAUAUAACCCAAUAAAACGUGGACUCAAUUUACCUUUUCGACCAAAUCCCAAGACUUUCUUCCAUGGAGAAACUUUAAGAAAUACAUUAUUCCCGACUGAAUAUUCAAUGUCUUAUCAUUUUAAAUCAGCAUAAGACUUUUGUUUGUCUAUCUUUGAUCUUUUUAACUGUUUCCUCUGUUUCUUGAAUCAAUUCCAGCCCAAUCACUUUUCUUUCAUUCAAUUCUGUCCAACAUACCAGUGAUCUACACCUUCGACCAUACAGUGCUUCAUACGGGGCCAUUUGUAUACUAGAUUGAAAACUAUUAUUGUAAACAAAUUCAACUAAUGGCAAAUAACGUUCCCAACCUGAUUCAAAAUCAAUGAUACAAGCCAGAAACAUAUCUUCUAAUAUCUGAAUUACCCGUUUGGACUGUCCAUCUGUUUGCGGAUAAAAGGCAGUACUAAAGUUAAGCCGAGUACUCAAUGAUUCAUAUAGCAGUCUCCAAAAUCUCGAUGUGAACCGAGGAUCUCAAUCCUAAAUUAUUGACACCGGAAUAUCGUGUAAUCUAACAAUUUCCCAGAUAUACACUUCUGCAAGCUUCUGCAAUGACUAAUCUGUUCUGACUAUUAUAAAGUGAGCGGACUUGGUAAGUCGAUCAACUAUUACCCAAAUAGCAUUCUUUUUGCUUGCCGACAUUGGCAAUCCCGUAACAAAAUCUAUUGUAGUACGAUCCCGUUUCCAUUCGGGAAUAUUAAUAGGCUGAAGUAAUCCAGUAGGAACCUGAUGUUCUGCUUUUACCGGCUGACAUGUCAAGCAUUUACUAACAUACUCAACUAUGUCCUUUUUCAUUCCAGGCCACCAAUAUAAUUCUCGUAAAUCAUGAUACAUCUUCAUAACUCCAGAGUGUAAGGAAAAUGGACUAUUAUGAGCUUCUCGAAGAAUUAAUUCUUUAAGCUCAGAAGUAGCUGGAAUACAAAUCCGAUUUUGGAAUCUUAAACAACCAUAAUCACCAACACUAAAGUUUUCUGCUAUGUCAUUCUGUACCAUCUCUCUCUUUUUCAACAACUUAUCAUCUUUCAACUGUGCUGAUCUUAUCUGGUCAAACAUUGCUGGCUUUACUCUCAAUUCGGCUAAAAGACUCCCAUCAUCACUGAUACUGAGCUGUGCAAACAUUGCUCUUAAUUCACUUGCUGCUUUUCUGCUCAAUGCAUCUGCUACCACAUUUGCCUUUUCCGGAUGGUAAUCUAUAACACAGUCAUAAUCUUUUAGGAGCUCUAUCCAUCUUUGUCUCAAGUUCAAUUCUUUUUGGGAGAGGAGAUAUUUCAAACUUUUAUGAUCGGUAUAAAUGUAGCAUUUUUCACCAUACAAAUAAUGUCUCCAAAUCUUCAGAGCAAAAAUCAUAGCUGCUAGUUCCAAAUCAUGAGUUGGAUAGUUACGUCUGUGUGGCUUCAAUUGAAGAGAUGCAUAGGCUAUUACUUUUUCAUCCUGUAUUAGUACACAACCCAGACCAUUCAAAGAAGCAUUACUGUACACUAUGAAAUCUUUUCCUGACUCUAGUAAUGUUAGAACUGGUGCCUCUGUCAAUAUUUGUUUCAAUGUCUCAAAACUCCUCUGGAACUGAUCAUCCUAGAUAAAUAGAACAUUCUUUUGUAGCAGCUUGGUCAUUGGCAAAGCUAUUUUCAAGAAUCCGUUUAUAAAUCUUCUAUAAUACCAAGCUAAACCAAGAAAACUACGUACCUCUUAUACAUUUCUUGAUGGUUUCCACUGUACAAUCACUUUAAUCUUCUGUGGAUCAACUCGGAUUCCAUCUGCAGAUACUACAUGUCCUAGAAAUAAAACCUCUGACAACCAAAAUUCACAUUUGAGCUUUCCAUACAACUGUUUUUCCCAUAAUAUUUGUAGUACAAUCUUGAGAUGCUGAUCAUGCUCUGACUCUGACUUUGAAUAAACCAGUAUAUCAUCAAUAAAAACUACUACAAACUGGUCUAAAUACGGUUAAAAGAUACGAUUCAUGAGAUCUAUAAAAGCAGCUGGAGCAUUUGUUAACCCGAAUGACAUUACUAAGAACUCAUAGUGACCAUACCUUGUACGGAAAGCUAUCUUUGGAACAUCGCUUUCUUUUACUUUCAAUUGGUAGUAGCCUGACCUUAACUCAACCUUUGAUAAUAUAGAAGCUCCUCUCAACUAAUCAAACAAAUCAUCAAUGCGAGACAGUGGAUACUUAUUCUUGAUUGUUACUUUAUUCAACUGUCGGUAGUUAAUACAAAGUCACAUCGAGCCAUCUUUCUUCUUAACAAAUAAUACUGGAACUCCCCACGGUGAUAUGCUCAGUCGAAUAAAACCACAGUCUAAUAAGUUUUGCAACUGUAUCUUCAACUCUUUUAACUCUGUCGAUGACAUCCGAUACGGAGGUAUAGAGAUUGGUGCUGUGCCUGGAUAAACCUCAAUAGCGAACUCAACUUCCCUAUCUGGCGGUAAACCAGGUAAUUCUUUAGGAAAUACAUCAGAAAACUCACUAACUGUCCGAAUUUUACCGCACUGGCUUCCAACUGAAUCUAAAUUAAUAACAUAUGUCAAAUAUGCUGAACAACCCUACUGAAGUAAUUUACUAGCUUUUAUUGCUGAAACAAUUUGUGCUGGCCCUUUAGUACGAAUUCCAUUUACUUCAACCCGAUCUUCACUCUCUGUCUGAAUGUUGAAUCUCUUUUUAUAGCAGUCCAAAAUCAUUCCAUGUUCAGAUAACCAAUCCAUCCCUAGUAUUAUAUCAAAAUCCCUACAUGGCAUAAUCGACAAGUCAACUGGAAAAGUUUUAUUUUGUAUAAUCAACGGACAUCUUGGACAGACCUGGUUCAUUAACACUGUUUUCCCCAACGGACUCGACACCUCAAUAAACACUAUAGACAUUUCGGAUUUUAAUUUCCCCGACUCAACUAAUUUUGAAUUAAUAUAGGAAUGUGAAGAUCCGGGAUCAAUUAAAGCAUGAACAGGUUCAGAAUAUAAUAUAAAUAUACCUAUUACCACUCAUGAACAUUGCCUUCUUCACGAGUUCUGACCACAUAAGCUCUGGCUGGUAUUCUAGCCUCAGACUGCUGGGUAACAAUGUCACUGCUUCUCUUAACUCCACCUCCUCUAGAAAAUCAAACCACUUCUACUAGAUCCCUUGCCUCUAGCUGUAGAUACUGAUCUCUGUGAUGUUACUGGUGCAGCACUAUCAAUUUUUGGGCAGUCUCUAAUAAAAUGAUUGGCAGAACCACAUCUGAAGCUACCUCUAGUUAAUUUCUAGCAUUCCUCUUUAUGUUUCUUUCUACAGUGCUGACAGUCUAGAAUUUCUAUUUCCCGAGAGAGACCUCUCAUACUGCUAGUAGAUACUGUUGUCUGUUUCCCUCUGCUUCUACCACCUCUAUCUGAUCUAAAAUUGGAUCUCCAUCCACCUUGAGAUUCAUUUGAUCUUUUUGGCUGUGGAUUUGAGCUGGUAGUUCUCGCAUGUUUCCCGGUUAUUCUGACACUUUCAGUCUUUUUAUCGAGGCCCAAUACUUGCCUACCAUUUUGGCUCGCUCAAUCAAAUCCACAAACUCGGUAAUAUGGUGAGGUACUAACUGUACCUUGAUAUCGUCUCACAAGCCUCGUAAGAAUCUUUUACAACUAUCUGCUUCAGUUGGAAUAAACUCGAAGGCAUAUCUGCUGAGUCUCGAGAAUUCCCUCUCAUCAUCUAUAACUGACAUGUCACCCUGUUGCAGCAUUAAAAAUUAUUGUUUCUUGUCUUCGAUAUGAAUAUCCCCAACAUAUUUCUUUUGGAAUUCCUUCUGAAAUAGAUCCCAUAUUAUCUGAUCUUCCGGUAGAUGUCGAACCACUGAUUUCUACCAAAGAUAGGCUUCCUCUUGUAGUAGAGAAACGGCACAAAUCAAGCACUCUCGGGGGGUACAUUCUAAUUGCUGUAAAAUUCUCUUGGUUAACUCCAUCUAAUUUUCAACUGUUGAUGGAUCGACUCCUUUCAGACCCAUAAAUUCAGUGGCACCAUAUUUCCUCAAUUCUUUUAUCAGGGCCCAUCUUUGAGUAGGUACUGAAGUCGUAGCAGGAGCAGUUCCGCUACUCUUUGUAGUGCAUCGGCAAUUACUCGUAAUAUAUCACAGUCAUCUCUAUCAUUUCUUCUUUCAACUCUAAUAGGUUGAUUUCUUAUAGGGUUUACACUAGGUGUUGCCGAUGCAGUUUCAUCUAAAUCAUAUGGUUCUUCAUCUUCAGUGUAUAUUUCUUGAUUAGUUUCAUUUAUUUUUUCAUCUGACAUCUUUAAUCUAUACAACAAAAACAAUUAAAUAUGUCAGCAUCCAAAAAUCCAGACUCAAUCUUAACUCAUCAAUAGCAUGUAUUUCUAGACUCAAUUCCGAGCCCGGUUUAGGCCGAUAAUCGACUAAACCUAAUAAUUCUAAUACCAACAAUUGUAACACCCCUUAACCUUAAACCGUCGCCGGAAUAGGGUUACGAGGCAUUACCGGACAUAUCAGAGAAUUUACAAAUAAUUCUUAAAUAAAUAACAAACAUGUUAUAGAAUAACCAUAAAUUCAUAUAAACUUUUACUAAUUGACUUCAUUCAUUCAUUUUUUUUAUUUUUUUAAAUAAAAAUUCAAUAUAACCCCAUUAUAAAUAUCUAACCUUCCCUGUAAUUUCAAAUCGCAACCAAACCAAUUCUAGUAUUUCAACCAAUGGAUUUAUAUACUCAAAUAUACUUCAAUCAUACAUGACAUAUUAAUUUAACAACUUAAGUAAUGAAAACCCUACUAUCAUUUUUAAUUAGCUCUUAAAAUUGUUCAAACCAUUUCAAUUCAAUAUCAACGCUAUAAAAAGUUCUACCAUUUCACUAAUUUAAUCAUCAAAAUACCAAAUACCUUUCUUUACAACAAAAAUUAUAUAACAUACUAAAAUAACCAUUAAAAUCCCUAUGUACAUGCCACUUUCACUUAAGGGAAGGAAACAUCACCAAAAUCCUUUUGCUGGAGUCGGGAUCGUUCGGAUGCUGGACCGGGACACUGGACUUCUAUUAACCUGCGCACAAAAACAACCGUACGCUGAGUAUUUCAUACUCAGUGGUAUUACCAUAAUUAAAAUUAUAAACAUAAUAAUAAUAAUAUAAAUUAAAUCAUCUAACUUUAAUAUUUACUAAACCAAUUCAAACAUAAAUUUGCCAUUCUCAAUAUAUUCAAACAAUUUAAUUUAGCUAUUCGUCAAUUGAAAUCAUAUAGAUUAAUGUUGAGCCAUUAUCUAAUUCAUGAACCAUUGCUUCAUGCUUUCCAUUCUCAUACUCACAUUCAAAUCACAUUUUCAAUCCAUGUUCCAUUUUUACAUUUCUUUCAAUGGCUCAACCAAUUCCUUUUAUUCAACUUAACAUCUCUUUUAAUUACCCCUAUUAACAGACUCAAACUUUGGCGGAUACACGGAUCCAACCAAACACACCAGUUUGGCUCCCAGUGCCUCAUCGAAUAGUUCAAAGCAAAGUUGACGCCCAGUGUCUCAUUGGCCUAGCCGAAGUAAAAUGGUACUCAGUACCUCAUCGAAUCUAUCCGAAGUAACAAUAUGACACCCACUGUCUCAUCGACUCGAGGUCGAAGUAUCCCUGAACACUUCUAAUCCUAUGGCAUGCCAACUAUAUCCAACUCAGUUCGACUAGUUAAUAGGGUUUUCGGAUCACAUAUAAAUCUCAAUUCAAUUACAAUUUCUCACAUUUUCAAUUCAAUCAUUUUCCACUUUUCAGUCAAAUUUUCAAUUCGCAUAUUCAUAGUUCAAUACACUUUCUCAAUUCAAUAUGCAUUUCAAUUAUUCACAUAUAAUCACAAUUCAAUUUAAUUUCAUACAAUUCAAUACUAAUACUUACCAUGUAUAUCAACUUAAAAUUCAACAAUUAAUAAUAAUAAAAUUCAAAUUAUAGUAAUACCAACACGUAUUUCUCAUUCAAUUCAAUUUUCUAAAUUCAAGUCAAUAAAAUUACUUACCUCAAUAUUUACUUACUAUAAAAUAAAUAAAUUUAAAAUUAAUACCUAAUAAUAAAUAACUUGAAUUAUAGUAAUACAAACCCAGAUUUGUUCGAUUACUCCUCGGCAAAUUUUUCUUUUCCUUUCAGUGCCGAUGCCUCGGGUUCUUUGCUAGCUACGAAAAUUAAAAUAAUUAUACUAUUAAUUACAGUACUAAUUAUAAUAAAUAAUUGAUUUUUAAUCAAUUCCUACCUUAUUCCCAAUUUAAUCCUAACUAAUUUUACUUACUUUUCUAAUUCAAUUCACACUCUAUUUCUAUUCAAAUUUCAUCCAUACUCAAAUUUAACUAUUAAUUUUUCAGCAUAUUUUCUUAAUUUCUAAAUUUUCUCAAUUUAGUCCCUACAACAUAAAACUUAUAGCUUACUUCACAAUUUAAUCCCUUUAUUAAUUCUAACUUGAAAUUCUUUCCAUUAAAUCCCUAAUUCCAUAAUUUGUCCAACAUGAACCCUACUUGAAAACCUAUGAACUCUCAAAAUAUUAACUUAAUUUCAUCAAAACCUUGUUUUUAAACUUUUAAAACAUUAAAAUUAAGUAAAAAGGACUCAAUUGACUUACCAAUUAAAGCUUAAAGCUCCCAAACCCUAGUUUCUCCUUUUUCCUUUUUCUUUUCUCCUUUCCUUUCUCUGUUUCGAAUGGUUCUGUUCUUUUCUUUUCUUUGUUUCUCUUUUUACUUUGUUUUAUUAUAUGCUUUAUUUAUUAACUUAAUUAGUUUAAUAUAAUAAUAAUUAUAAUAAAUAUCUAUUUAAUAACAAAUGUAUAUAUUAUAAUUGUACACAUAUAUGUUUUUACAUUUGUAUAUUAUCAUCCACAUGUCCUUACUUUAUUUAUUUCAUAAUAUAAUAAUAAUAAUAAUUAUUAUUAUUAUUAUAAUAUUAUCUUUUUACUUAAAUUUUAAGUAAAUAACUAAAUAUAUUACAAGUGUACCUAUUUAAUUAUUAUUUCAAUACACUUGUAUACUUCAUCACCUUGCACUUUACACACAAUUAGAUUUAUUUAUUUAUUUAUCUAUAAUUCAUAUUAUAAUUUAAAUAAAAUAAUAAUUAUAUAAUAUAAUAAUUAAUAAAUUAAGAAAAAUCUUAGAUUUUUCUUACACUUAUGCCCCCUCAUUCUAUAGUAAAUGGCAUAUUUUCCAUUUUGGCCCUUUUUAUUUUAUUUUAACCUAUAAUGAAACUUUUACCCUUUAUUCAAUUUAGUCCUUUUUUACUAUUUACACUAAAUUAGGCUAAAUUUUCUUAAUUAAAUCCUAAUUAAGUAAUCGACUAAACUCAUAAUUAUUUCUAAUAAUUAUUUAUGACACGAUUUGCUAAGACGGAGGCCCUAUAACUCACUUUUCCAGUGCCUGUGAAUUUUGGGUCAUUAUAGAGACACACGCCCGUGUCUCUGCUCGUGUGGACAAAAAUAGGCUAUUUACCAAGUCAUCUUACCUCCCAAAUUUGCAUACACCUACACAAAACCAAAUGGCACCAAACAUGACAUAAAUAGGCAUUCAUCCAAUCUUAAAUAAGCUUAAUUCAUGCUAUUUCAAUACCAACAUAUACAAGGCACACAAAUACCAUAAUAUGCCAUUCAAUUUCAUACCAAACCUCACUUUCACAAAUCAUCAAUGUGGACACUUCCAAUUAUGCAUCAUUUUUCCUGAACUCAUAAGCAUACCAAUUCUCAAAUAUCAACCAUUUACCACAAUCAUUUGCAUAGCAAUUAUCAACACAAGACAAAGGCUAUUUGCAUAUAUAUACACAACCCAAUCAACCAAAAUAAGCCAACUCUCAUGGCUAUAUACAAAACCAAACACUAAACACUUACAAGCCAAUCCAAAUGGCUAAAUUCAUUACCAAACUAUAUACCAAAAUGACUAAAGCUCCUAUACAUGCCAUAUAUCCCAAAAACAUAGAUUUAAAAGUACCAAAGUGAUAGCUUGGUAGUGUGAUGAGGUCUCUGACGAUUCCCGAAUCUAAGCUAGCUUUGAUUUCACUAUAAAACACGAAAAAAUAAACAAUGUAAGCUAUAAAGCUUAGAAAAUUAAUAUAAAAGCAUAACUCAACUUACCAUAUAUGCACAAUUUAAGCAAUUUAAACAUAACAUAACAUAUCUCAUAAUGAUUCACCAACCUACCACACUUUCAUUCACCAAGUUAAUUAUGAAUUUCAUAAAUUUCCACAUUUCAAUGCUUAUACGGUUCAUGUACAUACAUGUACCAUCUCGUAUCAAAUUCAUAUCCAACCACAUCUCUGGUAUACCCGUUGAACCAUUUGGAAUACUAUUGGAUACUCGGGAAUCUGACACCCUAAGUGCCAUAUAUACAGCCAAAGCUAACUCGAUCUCAUAUCACAUAUAAUGCUCACUUUCGAGCUAUCAACGGGCCUGCUCACACAAGCUAAUGGUCAUGACAAAACUACACAGUACUGCUCACACAAGCUGACGAGCAUCCGCAACACAUGCCAGAUAACUCAGCCACCGGUAGGACGUACGGGCCAGCACCCAAAUCACAUAAUCCCUAAUAACAUGUCAUUCGUAUCCUAAUCUAUUCCUAAGGUUCAACCAGGAUUUCUCGUUGCCGAAUCAUCGUCGAACAUAUUCGCAAUGUCGUAUACAUAAUAUAUUCAAUAUUAAAGCAUUUAAAACACAAUUAUAAUAAUGCUUAUUAACAUACGAACUUUCCUCGAUUGUAAAAAUGGCAAAAUAAGUAGAUUAGUCCGAUACUUUAUUUUUCUCCCGAUCUAAAUCUGAAUUUCGCUUUUCUUGAUCUAAAUGUAAUAAAAUUUAACUUAUUUAAUUAUCAUUGUAUUCAAUUUAGUCCAAAAUACACAUUAAGGAAAAUUUACAUUUUUGCCCCAAAUAUUUCAACAUUUUUACAAUUUAGUCCUAAUCUAAUAAAAAUACAAAUUCAUGCAAUUCAACCUAUACCCAUGCUAGCCGAAUUUCAAUUAAGUCCCUAGCAGCCCAUAAUUUAACCACAAAAUUUCAACAUUUCUCAAUUAAAUUCCUAAAUGACAAUUUUGUCAAAAAUCACUUUACAAAUGUUGUUUAUCUAACAACAAGCAUACAUUUUCUAUCAUCAAACAUCAAAAUACACCUAUAUUCAUCAAUGGAAAAACCCUAAACCUUUAAAAAUUUUUCAAAUUAGUCCCUAGGCUAGCUAAAUUAAGCUGCAACGAUCUCAAAAACAUAAAAAUUAUUAAAAAAAGGGAAAAAAAUGAACUUACAUUCAUUAGUAUUAAUGGCCGAACCUCCAAAAGCUUAACAAUGGUUUUCUUUCCAGUCUCGAUUGGGCAAACUAUAUUAAGGCGUAACUCCCCCAAUUUGUUAUUAGUCGUUCCACUAACUAAAAUCGAUUCUACCAAAAGCGUGUUGUCGCAUUCCAGCUCAAGCUUUCUGUAUCCGUUCUCCUAUGCUAUUUGAAGACCUUGUAACGCAACUCUUGCUUUAACCUUAAAAAUUGUGUCCUUACCUAUCCAUAAUGAAAAUCCACACAACCAAUUUGCAUCAACAUCUCUAAACAUACCUCUAAUAAAAGCUCUUGAUCUAUAUGAAGGCAAUGUUCCAUUCGUGUUGAGCUUAAUUCAUCCCCUCUCUGGUGGUGACCAAUAGAUUAUAGUGACUGUUGGAUUAGCAUGUACCAGAUUAGAAAUCAUUAGAUCAUAGCUCAUUGCCCAAACAAAUCUUGUAUCAACUAUAUUCUAUAUACAGCUAUGGUCAUUCUAAAAGUUAGUUAGUUGAUCACCCCCUAAUGACCAAUAAACAUUGGCAUUAACAUCCAGCCAUACCAUCAUCAAAUAUCUCCAUAAAAACAAACAAUUACUCAUUGAAAUCGAUGUUGGCAACACCCCAUGAAUAUUAUAUUUAUUUAUAGGAAACUGAACCCACAAUGCAUUUGUAUCAGUGAAUAACUGAAAUCCAAAUUUCAUUAGAAAUAAUUUAUUUUAAUCAGAUAACGAUCUCAAUCCCAGUCUACCCGCAACUAAAGGUCGACAACACUUUUCCCAUGACAAAAGAGACGACUUCCUCGUCUCUAAACUAGCUCCCCAUAUAAUGGUUGUUCUCUAGAAUCUAACUUUGUUUUAUAAUUUAUAAUUAAAGUGAAACAAAUUUCCCUUAGAACUGCCAUUAGUGGAUAUAAUGUCAACACUAACCUAGAAUCAGAAUCAGAAUUCAUAUUUUAUAUUUCAUAUUUCAUAGUUUAUGAAAUAUAUCAUGAAAAAAGUAUUGUCAACCCAAUAAUGAUUUUGUUAGAAAAGGAUUGAAAACCUAAUACUCCUUUUAAAGAAAAAAAAACUUAGAAUAAAUUUAUAAUUAAUUGAAAACAACACUUGAGUUAAAUGAACUCAGACUUCAAUUUGACACUUCAUGUAUUAAGAACAUAUCAUAUGUAGGAGUAAGAAAUUAAUAAGUUGGUAGAUAUGUGUGAAUUUAUCUUUCGAGAUAUGUUAAAUCAAUCUCUCUAAUUGCAAUUAAUCAUUAUAUGUAGGAGAAUCUUAAAUAUAAAAUAAUAUGAAAUGGGGUUCACGUAAAAUAAUGAAAUAAAAACUUUAGAAUUAACCUAAUUUAAAUUUGAAUAAAUAAUUUAGUUGUUUCACAUUGUAAAGCCUUUGACAAAUGGUAGUUGGUGGUUACUAAGAAUCAUUUAGUUUCAACUAAGUCCAUUAAUAACUAAGGAAGUCAACAAUUGUCAUCUUCAAAUAAAAAGGUCGGUUACAGAUUAUGCAUUAAAAUAGUGGCUUGAAAUAAUUAAACUAUCUGUUGAAGCUAAACCUUUGGAAAAUUCCCUUACCAUAUAUCAUUAUUUAUUCAAUGGCAGACAGUUUAUUUAGUUGCAAAGCAAUGAAUGGGGCAGUUAAGCUUUAACCCUUCUCUACCAUUAAAGGUCCAAACCAAUCACUUGCCCUCAACAUAAUUGUACUUCAAUUAGUGUAUUCUUCUAAAAUUUGCGAUGGGUAUGAAAGGAGUAAAAAGUGGUUCCACUCAACGUUUACUUACGUUUAUUUUUUUAUUUUUUUAUUCACGAAAAAGCCUAAACAGCAACACGAUUAAUUAUUGACACAAAUUAAACUUAAAUUACACUUGAAAGGAUUAACAUCUAAUUAUCAAACCAACAUAUAAGAUUCGUUUUGAAGUUGAAAGUAACUAGUUUUAUAAAUUUGUACAUAAAGCCAAACUGAUACCUCUUCUUAAAAAUGCUAAUAAUGAUGGGUAGUGCAAGUAUCUCAUACAUGUGGGGGCACACCAAUCAUCAGCUUUAUGAUUUUUUUUUUUUGGAUAAAAAAGUUUUGGAUAAAAUUUUUAUAUUUAAAACAAAUGCAAUUACAUAUCUCUUUGAAUCCAACAUAAUUCUAUUGCCUUCCUUAACCUAUAGCUAGGGUUUGUGGAAGAUCAUAAAAGGCUACAAAUUUUGGCUUUUUCAUACUUCUUUUCUCCUCAUAAAAUAUAUCAUAAUAACACACUAUACUCUUCUUAAAUUUAUAAUUUGAUUUCUUUAUUAUAUAGAUUUUAGAAUUUAUAUCCAAUUGUUGACAUUGUUAAAAUUAUUUUGUAAAAUCUAAGUUCAUUACAACAUCAUUUUUUUAAUUACAUGUCUACCAAGUAAACUAUUUUAUUACUUCAAAAUAUCAUACCAACAAGUUAAUAAAAAAAAUUAACAGUAUUAACAAUUGAACCUGAAUUUUAAAAUGUAAAAAAUAAAAAAACUACAUUUUUAAAAAUAAAAAUAUAAAGACUAAAUUUCAAAUUUAUAAAAAGAUACAUAAACUUAAAACAUAUUUUAACCUAAAAAAAUAUGGUCCAACUUUCAACCUUGGGCACCAAUUAUUUUACUCCUAAAACUCCUUUGAAUAAUGGGCAAAAAAGUCUAUAUAUCCAAAAAUAACAACAACAAGCUUAAUGGGUGUAAUAUCGGUGGCAUUGCUACGAUAUAUUAGUAUGGUUGUUAACAGUUAGGUUGAUUAUUUAUUUGUGUAAAAUUAUAAGGUAAAAAUUUAAAAGAUAAAAUAUGUUUUAGGUCUCUAUACAUUUUGUAUAUUUAGAAUUUAGUCCCUCUACAUUUAUAUUUAGAAAUUUAGUGCCUCUAGAUUUAGAUUAAAAAAUUCAGAUACAAUUAUUACAAUUUUAAAAUUCAUCUAUUAAAUUCUCUAUGUCACAUUUUGAAAUAAUAAUAAUAAAAACACUUGAUAGUCAUAUAACAAUAAAAACAAUGUUGAAAAUAUUGAUUAAUAUUUUUUUCUUAAAAAUACUCAUUAAAACUCGUCAUGUUAAAAUAAUUAUUUUUUAUGGAAUAAUGUUCUUUAAAAAAAUUUAUGUCAUCAUUUUUUAUUGAAAUAGUUAAUAAUAAUUAUUUAGAUUAACCAAUGACAUUACAAAAGCAGAUAGGUCAAAUUAUGUCAAAAAGUAAAGUAAGUCGAUAAAUCUCAAGUUUCAGCAUAGUUUAGAGGCUAAAAUUGAAAUUUGACUAUUUUCCUAUAAUGUAAAAUAUGCAGCACAAAUCUAAAAGAAAUGGGAAGUCAUGAGUUAGUCUCUAAGACUUGUACAUGACAAUCAAAUUAUAUAUAACCAUAUAAUAUUUUAAUAGAAAAGUUAAAAAUAUUAAUUAUUUGGACUAAUUGAUAACAUUAUAAAAAUACAAAGACCAACUUUUGUUAUAAAUUAAAGUAUAGAAAUUAAAUCUCGAAUUUGGACGUAAUAAAGGGACUGAAACUAAAAUUUAACCAUUUCUCCAAAUGUAAAAAAAAAAAAGAAAAAGAAAAAAAGAAGGUAAACUACACUAGAGAUCACCCUAAAACAACAUUGUUCCUAUUUUGAUCACUCUAAAUAUAUUUUGUUAAUUUAGUUUUUAUUGUUAGUAAAAAUUGACCAAAAUGAUCGCUCAAUCAUUAAACCCUUAACGAAUUGUUGGCUGGACAUGCAAAAAAGGAAAAAAAUUUCUUCUAGUCCCUUUAAAAAUUACAAAAAUUUUAAAUUAAUCCCUUAAAUCUUCAUAAAAAAUCCAUAUUAAACAACAUUAAGAAAUAGAUCUAGCCUCCCAUAUGCUUCCGCUUCCCCCACUACCUCCUUUGUUUUCUUCUUUUAUCUCGACAUUAAGGUAAAUUUUUUAAUUACCCAUAUUUUUUCAUUUAUUUAUUUUCUAACUAAAUAAUUUAGUUACUAUCAUUUUUUUCAAAUACACCAUGAUUUAUGACAAGAUGCUAACUCUUCGCGCACAAAUUAUAUGUAACAAGAAAAAAAUUUUAAAUGUAAAAUCUUUUAUUAACUCAAACAUUGAAACUACGUAAUAAUUAAAAAUAUGUACAAAAUAUGGUGAGAGGUGAGAUAUCCAAAUAUGGGUAAGUGAGUAAAAUAAUUGGAAAAUAUUGAAGGCAAAAUCUAGUACUGGUACAUCGAUUAUAUUUACACAUGGGAUGACUGAUUUUUUAUUGAACCCCCGAUGGCUUGGCACAUGAGAUGAUGGCCACACCGACCAAUCAUCAACUUAUGAUAUUUUCUUCAUUUUAUAUUUUUAUUUUUUAAAAAUAACUUUGAAACCUUUUUAAUCUAUAGAUAAAAAGGCUACAAUAUUGGUUAUGGACCCUCCUCUCCCCCCACCGAUUUUAUUUAUGAAAACGAUAAAAAAAAAUUAAAAUAUGAUACAAAUAUUCCAACGUGAUCAAAUUUACAUAAAAAAUAUUUAUAUAUUAAAUUUAAAAAAAUUAUAAAGUAAAUAUUAUUUUGAAAAUUACAGUAACCAACUCAAUUAAACUCUAUCUUUAUAAUAUUAUAUAUAUUAAGAUUGAUUUAGUUUUUAUUAUAUGUCAAUUAAACAUUAAUUUAGUAUUGAUUGAGUCUAAACUCAAUUAGCAUCGGUAUUGAUUGAUUUAGUUUUUAUUAUAUGCCGAUUGCGCUGAAGCGUAUUAUCCUCCUAUUUAUGGGUUGAGGAUGGACUAUGGGUAAUUCUAAGUAUUAUGUCAAAAACAUUAAUUUAGUUAAAUAAUGAUAAAAAUACAUUUAUUCUACAAAGUAUAUUAUGUUAUUUUCAAGAUAUUUUUGUUAUUUUAUUUUUUUAUAAAAAAUAUAUACACAUAAUAGAAUUUAAAUCUGAACAUUUAUAUAGCUUUUAAUACCCGUACUUUAUCGCUCAAUUAAAACAUCAUUUGCUUUUUAUAUCGAUAUUUUAUAAAUAUAUUUAUCACAUGAAUGUAUGUAUAUAUAUGCCCUUCUAAAUCAACAUUUUAUAUAUAAUUAAUUACACUCCAUUGCUAAUUAAUUUAUCUCCCUCAAGGUGAUGCUUAAAUAAUUCAAGGGUUUUCUUGAUAAUGUAGAUCUGAGAAGUUAGUAAACUAAAGGAGGAAAACAAAAAUAUAUUUUAUCAAUGUGUUUGGUAAGAAAAAUAAUUCUUUUUCACUCUUUUGUUAAUAAAAUUGUAUAUAGUCAUAGUUGGCUUACACCUCUCUAAUUUUUCUCACCUUCUAUAAUUUAAAUUUAAAAUAAUUUAUUUUUUCAAUACUAUAUUAAGUGUAGGAAAUGGAAAAAUACGAUUUGAAUUCAUGUUAAGUACAUGUCUGAUAAAAAUUUUAAACACUGCUUCAUUCAAAUUAAGAUUGGACAUAUUUUUUUUCCGACUCAAAAACCCUUUUUUUUAAAUACUUUUUUCGCUCUAUCUUCCCAUUCCCCAAUCAGUAGAAUUAUAACUAAUACAUUCAUAUAAUUAUAGAAUCUUUACAUGUAAAAAAUAAAAAUAAUAAAAUUAAUGAAAGUUGUAAUGGUGAAUUUGAAUAAGUAUGAAAAUUAAAGUAAUAAAUGGAAAUAUAUUAAGAAGAGCUUAGAGCAGUUGUAAGUUGUGAGAAAUGAGAUGUAUUAUGGGUGGUAUAGUUAUUAUUCUCAGUCGGUGAUGGGUUGAGUAAUUCCAACACCACAUCUUCAUAUCUCAUCCAACCCUUUUAAAAUAUGAACAUACAAACACGUGAAUUGGACCCAAUCUAAUAACAUUAUACAAAUCCAAUACCAGUCUGUAAAUUAGUAUGUAGAUUAUCACACCAAUGUUAUUAAAAAAUUAAUAUUUAUAUUAAAAAUAUGAUUUAAUUUUGUUAGAAAAACAAAAUUUACAAACAUCUUUAUUUUUUAAAAAGGAAAUAAAAACUUAAUUGUUAAUCUUUAUUUGUUUAGAUGAAUCUCAACUUACAACAAUUUUACCACUAUAAAUGUGACUUCAGUGUUUAAUUUUUAUUUUAUUUUAAUCAGGCAUACAAUUUAAUCUUCUCUCGUAUUUUUAUAAUAUUUUUAAAAAAAAUUCCAUUUUUAAUGGUUAAAAUGUAAAUUUAUCAAAAGUCUACUAUGGUCUAUUGAAUUUUUGUGUGGUUUUAAUUGUGAGAUCAAAUAAAAGUAAACACUUAAAUAAUUAAAACCAAAAUAAAAUAAAAUUUAAAAUUUGAGAUAGUAAAAGAAUAAUAUAUAUAUAUAUAUAUAAAUAAUUAAGCCCAAAUAAAGAAAGAAACAAGCGUAAAUAAAAUGGUUGAAAAAUAGAAAUCAGGCGUAAAUGGCAAAAACUUGGGGGAGAAGAAUAUAAAAAGAAAAAAAAAAUAAUUAAAAGUGGAAAAUGAAGAUGGCGUGUAGGGGAAGCAACCACAAGAGAAGGAAAGAAUAUACCAAAACCGCGUAAAAGAGCAUGUGGUUUGGGAAGAGAAGGUGGCCGUUGGAUGGGACACGUAGGAAUGGAAAAGAGGACAAAAAUACACGUGUAAAUGAAAAGAGAGGCGACAUCGGCCGUGAUUCGGGGACCAAAAUGCAGGGGCAAAUGUGGUUUCACGAAAUCAUUUUUAUUACAAAAUUACAAAACCACUUUUUAUGUAGCAGCACAGAAUGGUGGAAAACCAAUUUGCAACUUUUUUUCCACAUUUUUCACUUCCAUUUUCCUUUUCUUCUUUUUUUUGGGAUUUUCUCCGUAGAAGUUUGGUUGUACCUUUGAAAACACGAUUACUAUAUUUUUAUUUUGUCGGCAAUGACAAAAAUUGAAAAUCCCUAGACGAAAAUUCUCACAUAAAUAAAUAAAAAUUAAUAUUAUCAGUGAGUAAAUUUAGUUAUGAUUAUUUUUUUAAUAUUAAAAUUUGAAUUAUCGUUAAUUAAAAAUAAAAUAAUUAAGUGAUAAUAUGAAAUAGUUAUUUUAUCUUUAAACUAUGAAUAAAAGAGUUUAAAUUCUUGUAGAACAAUCAAAUGGACAAAAAAUCACUUUCACUCAUGUGAUUAGAUAAAAUGAAGUAUCUCAAAAAGCUUAGAAAAUCUUUAUAGAUUUCUCUACUUGAAUCAAUUUUGACAAACACUAUAGUUGCUUUAAGGAAAAAUUACAUUUCAAUCAAGUUUAAUUGCGGAGAAAAAGUUAAAAAUUAUUUUUGAAAAAACCACUUUUCAAUUUAAAUCAAUCGAAAAAAAGAUGUACAAAUCUAUUUUAAAAGCAAACCGUUACCAUACUAGAAGCAAUUUGCAUCCAUCUAAAAAGCAAGUAUAAACAAUUACUAAAUUGAAGUAAAAUAGAAGAAAAGACACAAAUGAUAUAUAUUUUUUAGUAUUGGAUAAAUUUCAAGAGAUUAUAUAACUUUUUUAACUCUGAAAUUUGUAAGACACAACGUUUGAAUUUGCAUGAUGGUAUUAUAAUUAGUGAAUUUUGGUCGAAUGUAGAAAAGCCAAAGUUAAUGAAUAAUUUGGAAAAAGAAUUUCGGAUUGAAUGAAAAUUGAAGAGUUAUAAAUAAAAGAAAUAAUAUAGACGGAAUUCGGAUUGAACCAGGUUAUUUGAUUUUUUAGGACAAUGUCUGGUGAGGCGUGUGGGUUUUGUCGGGGAAGAAGUAGGCGAGUAAUGAGUUAGAAACUCAGCUGACGCAUACAUUGGCUCAGCAUUUCAUAACGCGCUUAUUUAUUACUUCAUUUUCCAAUAUCAGUUAUAAGAGAAAUAGAGUUUUUUUUUUAAAAAAAAAAAAGAAAAGAAAAGAAAAUUUCAGAUAUGGUGAGGUGGUGGCACCCUUUUCUCACUUUUUUUUUUUUUAAAAAUGAUAUAGAUUCCACGUACUACUUUUUUUUUAAUAUGAAGUUAAAAAAUAAAGACUAAAGUUGGGUGGCCUUGAAAAGCCAAAAAGAUGGAAAAAUGAUAGAAAAAACACCUUAAUAAAUUGAAAGCAAAAAUAGAGAAGAGAUGAGAUUAGGUAAGUUAGAUUAGAGGUAGUAAGUAAUUAAAAGAGAAAAUAUUUGUUUAAAAAAUAAAAUAAGAAAAGGAGUAAAAAAGACGGCCCCCGUCAACGCGUACCCAAAGGUAGACCUAAAAGAGAGGGGGCGGUCCAUAAACAAUAAAUGCGGUCCAACACCGGCCUCCGUUAAUCGCCACGUACCGUACACUUAAUCAACCGGCAAAUGCCGGUCUCUACUCUUCUCCUAUGCUUAUACUAUAAUCCCAAGCUGUUCUCCAAAUUCCCAACCCAAAGUCUUUUUCACAUACACUUCACCCCAUUUUCUCACUCUCUUUUUCUAUCAUUUUUUUUUUUAAGAAAAUGUCUCUUUUUGGUUUAAUGCAAAGAUAAGAACUUUGGGUUCCUUUUGUUUCUUAGAAAAACAAAAAAUAUGGAGGAGAAUAUGUGAAAAAGUGUGUGGAGAAGAAGAAAGAGAAUUUCAUUUCCAUGGCGAAUUUAAUAUUUUCCGAUGAGAAUCCGUCAGCGGCGGCAGCAGCAGCAGCAGCAGCAGAAGCGACCAGUUCCGGUGGAAGCAUCUUUGACAUGGCAACUGGAGCAGGGGCAUGUGAUGGAGAUACUAAGUGGGGGUCUUCUUUAGGUUUCAUGGACUUGCUUGGCAUCCAUCAAGAUUUCAUUGCCCCUUCUUUAUUCGAUUCCUUUCAGCCACCACCGAUUCUUCCACCACCACCUCCCUCAACAUCAUCUGAACCACUUCUUCACCAACAACUGGACGCGAAGCAGCUUCAAGCCCUUCCAUCGCCGGCCUCCACCCUGCCGGAAUCUUCUGAAGUUUUAAACAACCCUGCAACACCAAACUCUUCUUCCUUCUCUUCUUCAUCUAAUGAAGCUGCAAAUGAUCAUGAACCAACCAAAGCUGAAGAUGAUGAAGAAGAAGAGCAGCAUCAAGACAAGACAAAGAAACAGUAAGCUAACCUUUCUUUGACUAUCAUUUAUGGCUUUGGAUUCAAUACUCACUCUCUCUAUUUAUUGUUUCUGUUUUUGAGUUAGAUAUUUGAGGUAGUGUGGGAUAAACUUUUGGUUGCUUUGUAUUGCUGAUUUUUUAAGUAAAGGUUUUGUUUUUUAGCUUUGCUUUUGCUUUUAUGGGUUUAGGUUGAAACCCAAAAAGAAGAACCAAAAAAGGCAAAGGGAACUGAGAUUUGCGUUCAUGACAAAGAGUGAAGUUGAUCACUUAGAUGAUGGUUACCGAUGGAGAAAGUAUGGCCAAAAAGCUGUGAAAAACAGCCCUUUUCCCAGGUAUCAAUCAAUAUCUAAUCUAAUAACCCCUCUCCCUUUUCAUAUUGGUCCACUAAUGUUCAUUUUUAGUAAGCAUUGCUAUAUUAUAUGGUUGAAAAACAGGAGCUAUUAUCGUUGCACCAGCGCUGGCUGUGGGGUGAAGAAGAGAGUCGAGAGAUCCUCCGAUGAUCCCACCAUCGUUGUCACCACUUACGAAGGCCAACACAAGCAUCCCUACCCGAUAACUCCUCGAGGAAGCAUUGGAAUCAACAUGGAUCCCUCCUCUAGUUUUGGCCCAUCUUUUGUUGUUCCUCAACCUCAGUAUUUACAUCAGCAGCAACAAUUGCAACCCUAUAUAUAUAACUCAUCGCCUUCUUUGAACAUUACUAGUAUCACUACUAGUGGCUCUAGCUUCAAUGCCUCGAUCCCUGAUUUCCUUCAAGACAGACGUUUUAAUACUUCUCCUACUUCUUCUUCAGCUUCGUUACUAAGAGACAAUGGACUCCUUCAGGAUAUUGUUCCAACACAGAUGAGGAAAGAGGCAAAGGAACAGUAAGACAGUAUGGGUUCUUUUUUUAUAUAUAAUUAUAUGAUUGCUGGUAUGUAGUUUCCUAAUCCUUUACUAACUGAUAAAAAACCCAAUUCACUAUAUCUUUUUUUAUUCAAUCUAUUAUCAUCUGUAUAAAAUCACCUGUCUUUUUAUAGUGUUUUUGCAGGAGAACAAGUGUUUUGUACUUGGUUUUUCUUGUGGUUAUUAUUCUUUGUAUUUAAGGAGAAUUCAAUUAUGGAAAUAUUGGGGUUUUUUUAUUAUUAAUUUCUUCCAUUUGUGCUACACGUCAUUUUCUUCUCCUUUCUUUUUCAUUGUAUGCAUUGUCAAGAGAGAAAACGUAGGUACAAAGAAGACUUUAGGGUUAGGGUUUUUUUCAUGAAAAAGUCGUCAUGCAGACUAGUUGUUAGCAAAGCAACAUUUUAUUGGAUGGGUCAAAGCUCUUGAACUUGUAGAAAAAAGGAAGCUGGGAAAUCUACCCUAGGAAGCUAGAGAAAGAGAGAGGGCAGGGCAGUGAAAACAAUGUGUUAAAAGGUAAAUUAUUAUUUGAAUGCCAUAUGUUUCAUUGAUGGAAGUGCAAAGAAAAAGAUGAAAAAAAACAAUGACUUGGUAGUCUAAUUCACAUUAGCCCCUUUUAAAAAUCAUGGAUUUUUCUUCCUUUCCAAGCUAUGGAGAUACAAGUCACUAAUUUAUGGAAUGUGAACAUAAUAUCUCUUUCUACAAGUCUUCCCCAUAUUAGCUCUUACCACACAUGCUUCUCUACUUAUCUAUGGGCAGAAACUAUAAUGAAAGCGGAAGAGGUUAGGGAUGUCCAAGAAUCGAGGCUUAGACCUAAUGUCAAUUAUACGAUCCGGUUUGACAACAUGAAAUCUGGGUUGGGAAGAAAAUUUACUUUGACGAGUAAUGGCAUUGUAUCAUAUUAAAUAUCCCAUCCUUUAGCUUUAACUUAAAAAAGAAUAUUUCAUGUCAUGUACAAACUAUAGACCAAGCAUAUAUGCAUAUAUUCUUUGUUAUCGAAAGUGUCAAUAUGCACACUUGAAUUUCAUAAAUGGAAACUAAAGAGAAAGUAAAAUCUUUUUGAAUUCACUGUAUAUAUAGCAGUAAUAUAUACUCUUUUUAUUUAUUAUUUGUUGUUUAUAUAAAAUGAAAAUAAAAAAUUACAGUAUUGUCUGUUAAAGCAUACUGUGAUAUGAGAGUGCUCCAGGUCAAGAUACUUAUUAUAUCAUGCAUUAGUUUGGGAGAACCGGCCACCUCAGGGACAAGACAUAUAUGUAUGUUCGAAGAUGUAAGAAUAAAGAAGAAGGUGAGGCAAAGAAUAAUGAAAAUUUCCUGGAUUGUGUUAUCAGUAUCCCGUUGGAAGAUUUUUGUAUACAACAGCUGGCUUGAAAUUUAGACAGCAUCUUCUAUUUCUGCUAAUGUUAAUUUAUAUAUAUAUAUAUAUAUAUAUACACACACCAUCGAUCCAGAAAGGAUAUGUUUUUUGGGGGGGUUAAAAUUCUGAACCACGUGCAUGAAAGAAUGAGUAUAUUGUCAGCAAAAGUUGGCCGUCCAAAGCAGCAUAACUUGUGGAAACUAUUCUUGUUUCAUAUAUAUAUAGAGAGAGAGAGAGAGUGUGUGUGUGUGUGUGUGUAAAUAUAGGAUAGUCACUGGCUUACUUAAUACCACAAAGAAGAAAGAGUAGAGAGAAACGUUUAUGUAAUUAUCUCAACAUUCAAUAUUUUCACCUCUAUCAUGUUGGCUACCAAAAGGUUCUUGUACUUUCUAAUUUAGUCACUAAUUAAAUUGGAAGGGAAAAUGUGGAAUGCAUACCAUUUCAAUUUGCAAAAUAUGAUAUGGAAGAUCAUCUGCCUUACACCUAUAUAUCCUAAAAAGUUAGGUCUAGUGACUUUCAUUCACGAUUCAUGUUUAGAAUUUAUGAUUGUAUUUCUCAAAAAAAAUAUUAAAAAACAUAUGGACUCCUACUAUUGCACCUAACACUUAUUGGCAUAUUAAACAUCAAGAAAUAACAUACAAAUAUUGUUUCUAUUUGAUUUUACAACCCAAUAUAAUUCAUAUGUAUAUACUAUUAAAGGGAAGAUAUAUUAUUAUUUAUCAUGUUAAUUCAAAUUAAAAAUGAUUUAGUAUAGAUAAUGUUACUUGGACUUCAAUUAUCAAAUAAGUAUGAAUUAAAUAUGUGAUGACACUCAAAUAAUUAAUUUCUAAUUGAUGAGUGGUUAAUUAAUAAUUAAAAUUAAAAUGUAAAAAUUGAGAGAGUAACUUUUUUGAAAUAUUUAUGUGUUACUUUGGAAUAUCAAAGUCACAAACUCAAUUUUUAAUAUGUUAGAUUUCAGUAUGCUUUUGUAUCUAGUUUCUUUUUAUGUUUUUGUAUCUAUUUUUUUUAUGAUUUGAUAUGAUAAAUCCUAAUUAAUAAAAUAAACAGUUAAAUUGAUAUUAUAUUAAGGAUAUUGUGUGUAUAUAUAGUGAGAGAGAAUUAUUUUUUGUUCUUUUUUAUAUACAAACAAGUCUGAAUUGAACUUCAAAUUUACAAGCAAAAGUGAUGCAUUUAAUGGUGAGCCAUCGUUGGCUCUCCUCUAUUUUUUUUGGUUUUGUAAACCAUUCAUCUUUGUUUAAGUCGACCUCAAAAGGGAUAUGGUAGGUUACCUUUUAUGGAUAUAUGGUUUUCACUUUUGACCAAUCUUUUCACUAUCAUGCAAAAUAUACUUUCCCAAAACUUAAUAUUACUACCAUCUUUUUAAUUUAGUCUUCACUAGACAUGAUUAAAGUGAAAUAAAACAUAAAAUUCAAAAUCAUUAAUUGUCCAAAAAGUCGCGAAAUUAAUCGUACAAAAAACAAUAAAUGUAUGUAAAAUUAUUUUUAAUUUACAUUAUACAUUAAUACUAUUGCCAAAUGAGACUAUCGCAUUUUAUUCAAAACUUUUGAAGCUAAAUUCACUCAUUUCUAUUUGAGAUGAUAUGCCAUCAUCCUUUCGCUAACUAAAAAAUUUAGUGUUCAAAGAAAUCAAGUAAGAAGUUUUAAUAAAUGAUGAAAAGUUGUCUCCUAAAUGCCAAGAGAAUUUAUAAAUAGUAGUAAAGGCAUCUAGGGUGGGCAAAUGAGGUUCAAAAUCAAAUCUCGUCAUGCAAAUAUUAAAAAAAGAAAUAAAAAUUGAGGAGAAGAAUAAAGCUUUUAUCUUUUUGAAUUUUGAGCACUUGGAUUCUAUCUAAAAAAGGUUGCCACUAUCUGGACUUCACUUGAUGGCCAUCGGCUGUUUUGUGUACCACUUGGGACCAGUUCUGUAUGAUUAAUAUUUUAAUAUGCAUAUCAAAUUUUGAAAUAAUCAAAAGGCUAAUAAUCAACUAACCAUUGGUACAAUGAUACCCCUUCCCCAAAAUAAAGAACUGAUGACCAGAAUCUAACUUGGGAGGGUGAUGUAUGUCGACAUUUCAGAGCAAAAACGAGAGUUCUUUUUUCUAAGUAUCGGGUUAUUAUAGGAACUUAUAUUAUGUUACACAAAUACAGAUGGCUUUCAUUGCCCUAAUAUUUAAUGGCAAAAGCAUAAAAUGCCUGUAACCAGGCAAAGGCUUUUUACCACACUAAAUUCUGAGAAGAUUUACUAUUACAUAUAUUGUAGCUUCUAUUAUUACACAUCUCAUCUGCCAGGCAUUUUAGCUUAAAAUGGGUUGCUGCUGCAUCCAUGCCAUUGCCAUUUGCCAUGACUAUUUGUGUUUUUAUGAUCGCCCGGCAUUCUUCUAAAAGAAACACGAUUCCCCCUAGGAGACUCUCCUCGGCUUCCAAUUUCAAGUCCCUUAACAAAAUGAUGAAUGAUGCAUUAAGCAUACAAUAAAAAAGCUUCAACUUGAGACUGAUAUUUGCCUAAGCAAUCCAGGCUAACCAAGUCUAAACCGAAAAGCAAGCAAAAUUAACCACCUUAUGGCUUAUUCUUCCAUGCUAAAUCCUGUACCAUCUGAAGCCCCUGCAGCAAAUAGACCAAAGAAAUUAAUAUUGUUGUCUAUUGAGACACAAUAAUGAAAAUUACGAAAACUUAUACCUGUUGGAAUCGUGAUGGAUCAUUGGGUGAUGGUGCCACUGGUAAUUGUCCGUAACCAAGUUCCUGUAAAAUCCAAAGAUACAAAAAAUGAGACUUAUGAGGCAAUGAACUAUUACAGGAAAGUGAAAACAAGAAUGCUUUACAAAACUGUAAAAGAGAAGGGUUGCCAAAGAAAAAGAAGAAGAAAUAAACUACAAUUUUAUUGUAAAUCAAUUUGACAACUAGUUAACCCGGUGACAAUCAACUUCUUGAGGUUCUCUUUAUUUGGCUGGGCUGUUAAAUAUAAAGUUUACCUGUGUACUUUGUUGAUUUCUAACUCCAGAAGCUGGAUACUGGAAUUCCACAAAGUAGAAUUAGCAUUGCAUAACGAGAUAUCUAAUACAAUAAAACCCAGUUAAAAAAAGUCAAAAACCAACCGCUGUGGGAUAGAUAGGCUGCUGUAACUGGUGAGGAUGGCGAAUCUGUGUCUGAAGCUGGGUUUGCAGCUGUGCCUGUUGUGAAGCUUGCAGAGCAGCAUGUAACUGAGUUUGAGGUUGUUGAACAGGUGGCUUUUGUUGUUGCUGCUGCUGUUGUUCAAACAAAGUUAAUUCUUCGGGCUUCUCCCACUGCAUAAGGAUUCGAAUUAAAUACAUUAGUUAAUUAAGAAAUAAUUUGCCAACAGUUAACCGGAAAUCAAAUUCACGUCUCACCUUGCUUUCACGUGUUAGACUGUUAUGAUAGUAUUUGAACCCGUCAGGUGAAGUAUGCUCUGUCCAAUGACAUUCUACUACCGGUUUCAUAGCAGCAGAUGCAGAUGAAGGAACAUCUGUACCAGGUGUUUUGGCAGGAGCGCUGCCAACAGCCUGCGGCAUCAUACCAGCCCACUGACAAUGCACCAACCAUAAUCCUCAGAGUAAAUUAAUUACAGCACAACUUUCACAAGGCAUGUUGACAUGAAUAUAUGAGAUACACAUGAAGGAGAAUUACCAUCCAAUGAUAACCCGGGCAUUUAAAAUCCUUAAAUUUUUAUUGAAGCAGGAUACUUUUAGAAAAUAUUUUUUCUAAAAAACUCUUUUGAGCUGAAAUUAAAAUUGACUUGGUUUUUAGAAGCCUCAUAGCCUCAAUUUACCUCUAAAAAUAAUAUAAUUCCUGUGUGAAUCCAACCAUUAUAGCCCCACAUACCUGAUGUUUAGAAGCCUGAGAAUUCUGCUGCAAUGUCAUAUUUUGAUUUGAAGGUUGCAUCAGCUGCAAUUGUUGCUGCAGCUGAGAAAAUGCCUGCUGAGAUGAUUGGAAGCUUGCUUGCAGAGUUUGUGUUUGUUGAGACAGCAUCUGCGCUAGCUGAGAAGGGGAUUGCUGAAGUGGUUGCAGCGGCUGCUGCUGGUUAGGAGCAGGUAACUGUUGUUGAUUUGCAGCACUGGCCGCAGAAUUGGGCGGUAAGUUGACAUUCAAAGGGUUUUGUAGUGCUGCACCAGAUGAAACAUUCGGCUGAACCAGUGGCCGAGACGCAGACAACUGGCCACUCAAACCAGCUAAAUGUUGUGAGGGAAGAGCUUGACUGAAGGGAGUAUGACUAGCAGGAGGAACUUGAAGUUGACCAACAUGUGAAGUUUGUGUCUGCGAGUAUGACAUAGGUGCUUGCGGGUGUAGUUGAAAGGAAGGCGGUAGAUUCUGUGGUGAACCAAGGGGCUUCUGUAAAGGUGAAAUCUGAUGACCAACAGUUGGAAUUUGUGAUGAAGAUUGAUUAAAUCCCUGAAAUGAAACAAACCUAAUUCAAUCUUAAAUGAAACAUGAAGAAUGCAAAAGCAUAAAAAGCAUGUCAAUUUUUCACAAACCUGUACUGAAGUAGAUGAAGAUGAAACUGAAAGGCCAGGAAGAGAACCAUCUGAAGGGCCACCAAAAGGAGCACCCUAGUGUUUUUUAAGCAUAGUUAGCCAGAGUUUGCAAGUAAAACAAAAUUAGAAAUAAGAAAAUUUCCAAACAACACCAAAAUCGAUGAUUGACAACCUUUCAAAAGGCCAAGCAUAAAAGAACUAAUAGGAGAGUAUGACCACAAGCUCAUGGCUUUCAGGCUCCAAUUAUCCAAAUGACAGUUAAAUCUAAUUAUAGGUUAUUUACAGUUCUUUAGAAAGAAUCUUGCUUUGAUGGAAAGGAAAAGAAAUUUAGCACCUCAAUGAUAACUUCAAUAAUAACUGUCCAAGGUAGAUUGCUCAAACUAAAAUAAUAACUUCAACAUAACAUCCACAAAAUAUGUUAUCACAUGCCAUUAAGGAGAAAUAUGGCUGAUUAACACAAUUUCAUAGUAAAAAUUAGAAAUGUGCCAGCCAAGCUUUCUUACUGGAUUUAAAGGUAUUGCUAGGUCAGCAGACCUAGGUAGCAACUGGUUCCCCAUACUCCGAAUGCCAGGAUUAGAAGUUGGUCCCAUUUUCUGUGGACUCAUAGGGUGCCAAGCAGUAGGUGGAACACGAUCCCCCAUUGCAUCACCAAAGUUGGGUGCUGGUCUGUAAAGGACGACAAGAAAACAGAAGUUCAGAAAUGCAAGCCAAACGAUAAAAGGAGAUAGCUUAGCCCUUGAAAACAUUAUACUUUUCUUGGGUACCUAGGCCUUGGUGUUUGGAAACGAGGACCAAAACCUGGACCUCCAAAUGCAGCAGCACCGCCCCUGGAAAGGAAGCAAGUUGAGAAACAGCCUACAAUUAAUUCAAUCAAAGUGUAACAUAGGAAAGAGGCUAACAGUGAAUUGACAAACAGAUAGACAACCAACUUUCAUCUAUAAUGCAAGGUAAAAACAUGUCCUUCAAAAGAAACAUCGAUAGCAAAUCAUCAAAGGCUGGCCCUUUCCCAUUUACAUCCCACUGUACAAGUUUACACAUAAAGAAGUGCAUUUAAGGAAAACCUUGAGUCUCCAGGUCCUUGCCGGGGCCUCUUAGGAUCAGCAAAACGGACAGUUAAUGGUUGAUCACAACCCUAAGAUAUAGAAAAAAAAUAAUGAAUAGGUAGUUCAAUAAUAUAAUCAACAAACACAACAUUAAAAAAAGAAGUAACGAUGCUUACUCUCAUUGUAUAAAUUCCAUUGAGAGCAUCUAUAGCUGCUAGUGCCAUUUCUCUAUCAGAGUAUUUAACAAAUCCACAGCCUUCAAAAUGAAUGUAAUAAAUAUUUGAGAGAAGAAAAGUGGAAACAUGAAAUUACAUAAACAUAUAAGAUCUGAACAUAGAUUACUGAAAAUAAAAAAUAAUUCAUCAAAUCCAAGAUGGUCAUGUAAAUAUAGAACUCAAGGACACACCACGACUCUGCUUUGAUUCAUCACGCAUGAGGUAAACAUCUUCAACUCGACCAAAUCGAGAAAAAACCUGCCAAUGGAACAACAAUUACUAGUUUGGUAACAUAUAUAAAAAUGAAGAAAAAAGAAAACUAAAAUUGACCAGUUAAUAAUGGCAACGUACAUAGGUUAUGCAUAACAAGAAAGAAAAACCAUAUACCAAUUGAAGUGAUACCACAAAAUGUCAUUAGAAAUAAAUAAUUUCUUUCACACCAGCAUGUAAAAGCAACAGCAUAAUUAAACAAAUAAAAUAUUUAUAUAGCAUACUUCCUGAACAUCCAUUUCAGUAGCUUGUUUGUUCAGCGACCCAACAAACAAUUUGUACUCAACUGCACCUGUCAUUAAGGAAAAAAGAAUCUGUCAUGGAGAAAUUAGACUAUGUAUGAUAAGCAGCAUAACCAUGGACCAUUUUGUAUAAUAUGCUUGGAUUGUGUAACACACAAGAGGAUGUGCAUAAACACGUCUAGACUUUGAAAAACUUCCACUUGACAACUACGUCUUUACAAAGAGAUUACACUCCCUCCAUUCUGACUUUAAAGGACAUCAGAAAAAUCAUGGUAAAUAAGGGAUCCGCGUUAACAAGAGCAUGCAGCAUCUAAAUUCAAAAACCACACGUCACUAAAAGUGAGUGCCAUGGAUAUUACAUGCAUAAGGCUGGAAAUUAAAUGAGAAUAUACUGGCAUGUAACAACCAAAAAGAUCAUUUAUUGACACAUUCACACAUAUAAAUUACAGAUCAAGCUUCAAAACCCUACAAAUAUGCAAUAAUUACCAAGGCGUUCUCGCUCCCCAUCAGCAUAUCUGACUUGGAUAGGACCCACUCCCUGUGAAUAUGACAACGAGAAUGUACAAUAAUUCAGUUGUAAGAGUUCAAAAUCAUUUCAGAAUACAUACAUGGACAAAAAACAACGCAAGAGGCAAAAGACCUCACCCCAGGCAGGGUAUGUUGAUUGUGUAAGGCUCUGAUAGCCCUAUCGGCUUCUUCUAAGGUUGCAUAUUUUAUAAAACAACAUCCUGCACAACCACAGCGUUUUAAUUCUGAUUUUGUUAGAUCACUUGCACCCUCACAGAUGGUGCAGAUAGGCAGGCACAUAAAAUAUCACAAAACCAUAAAAUACAUGUCAUGGAAUUAUGCCAUUACAGUUGCAUAAGAAUGGAACUAGCGAAGGUAGGAAAAUAUCCAAAAUAUCCAAAUUACCAUGAAAUCUAUUUUCAUUUAGCACAACCCACAGAAAAGUAAAAUGAAUGUCAACCACCACAUCCGAAUGUUCAAAAGAGAAAUAUCUUAAACCAAAUCAUUCGUAUCUCUUUCAAGGCAGUGCACAUGCCACAAAUAUAACAAUGUACAGAAUAUCCCUGCCAGAUAACCCCUUAACAGAACAUAGCAGAACUAGAUAAUAUGUAAUACAUAAGUGGCAGAGUUCUUUAGAACAAAUUUGUUGCUAAAUCAUAGUUUGCCUUCAAAAAAAAAAAACAAUCAUUUAAGACAAGACAGCAGAGAUAGUUUUCUUUUUAUAAGUAGACAAUUAAUAGAAAAAGAGCCCAAUAAGAACAACAGGGCAUAAUUCCUUCUUGCAGAAAAUAGCACCAUGUCAACAUCCUAAUCUUGUGACAAUAUACACGGCAAACCUACAUAGAAAAUAGCUUUCAACCAUGCAACUAAUCAACCAACAUAUUGCUACUCCCAAGAAAAUGACCCAUAAGCACAAAAUCUUGCCAGUAAUUGUAUUUUAAAUCCAUGCAAUAAUCCACAUAAAGCUGGAAGCUGAAUCAAUUUGCCAUGACAAUAACCAUCACUGUGCUUACAAGCAGAACUUCAUGGGCACAAGUAGAAAGGAAUUUUAUCAAACAUUAAAGAUAACAGAAAGGCAAGCACCCAUAUAUCAUCUUAUAUUUCCACUCUUUUAAUUUUCCCACAGAUUGAGCCACACAGACAUACGAUGCUAACAUACUCCAAAAGGAACCAUCAGUCACUAACAUUACAAGCUCACAACACAAGAAUAUUCAAAUCUUAACUCUACCUCUCCCCAACCAGCUCCAAACAAAUAACAAAAAGGUUUCAACACCAAGCACUAGUGCACGGAGAAGCGAGAACUCAACUAUUUGUCACUCACAUUAGACCACGUGACGGUAUGUCAAGAUACGUUAUAGCUCUCCCAAUGGGCCCAAAUAAGAUAACUCAAUGUGUAUAGCACAAACACCAAGCACAACAGAAAUCUAGGUUCCGAUGAACCUAGAAACAAAGAACAAGCAUUUUAGGCCUCCCCUUUAUCAGUUGCUUCCUUCUCUAUCCAAACAAAUCUCUCACAAUACAUUUUCUAGGAAUCUAGCUAAGCAAAUAACAUAAGAAGGCUAUGCACAUGACCAAGUAAGAGAUUAUGAGCAGCACUAAGCUUGCUUUGCAGAAAAGACAACCGUCUUGUUUAAACUAUUAACUCAUUCAUGUAUGGAAAUAACAAAUUAACCUAGAAACGUCAGUUGCAUACUUACAGUAGAAAUAUUCAUACCAAACAAAAGGAAUAUGGGAUUCCACCAUCUCCACACAAAUUUCAAGAAUCAAAUUGGUUCAUCAAGCAUAUAUUCUCACUUGACAAGCACAAGAAACCAAGUGCCAUGCAGUAACUCUACCCAAAAUUCAUAAUUGUACUGCUGCUUUGGAUUUGAAAGAAUAAAUAAGAAAAAUGCACAAAGAUCAGACCUAUUAAGGUUCUACCUAAUCGUACCAAGACGGAAUCAUCAAAGCAUUCACUUCACCAAGCAUCUAUGAGUAUAUAGACUUAGUCACUCAGAGAAGACAUCAAUCUUCACCAAACAUACAAGUAAUUCCCAUGAGAAUGGACCAUAGUUCUCUCUGAAUAAUGUAUAACCAAACCUGACUUUAAGGCUCACAACUAUAAAUAAUAAAUAAAAAAGAACGAACCAAAAUGAUAAAUGGAUUGAAAAUAGCAGAGCAGAAUUGCUGAAAAUACAAUAAAAUAAGUGGAGAACCUAACAAGGAAUUUUCAUAAAAGGUUAACCUCUACUGCAGUGGUUAACCACAAGCAGGAGAAAAAAUGUUUCACAAAGCCAUCUGAUAGAAAAGAACAACAAUUUCAGGUAACCAUGCUGCACAAUUCUAGAAUCCAAACCUCCAUGUUGGUUUAAAUUCAAACACAUCCAUUCCUCCUUGCACAUUACAACAUUCACAUUACACAACAGCAUUCAAACCAUGAAAAAGAAAAUGAGUUCCCUGAAUGAGAAAUCCAUCAGCAUUCUCACUCUCUGGCACAAAAGGCAAGCACUACUGAUACAAUCAACAAUGGAAACUAUAGAUAAAUAAAUAAAUAAAAACCAAGAAGCAACCAAAAUCUGAGCAGGGCAGCGAUUAUAUUAUAAACAGGACAUGACAGGAGGAAUAAAAUAAAAAUCAAUGAGUUCAAACUACACAAUCCUAUUGGUAUCACAAAAAUUUAGGGAAAUUCAAGAGAAAAAAUGAUUAGGGCAACCACAAAGCCACCUGGAGCAUAAGCGCAAAUUUGCCGAUUAAAUAACCAAUGCUAACUGCUGCAUCAGGUUGCAGUCACAAGAUACAGCAGCAGCAGCAACUAAUUUUCUAUUGUAGAAAAGAGAAUUCCCACAGAACUUUUAGUAAUAUUAUAAGGAUAGAAAUCGAUACAGAAAAUGAGCCGGCAACCAAUAUAGACUAGCCAUCCAACUGAUAAAAAUAAUUCAACCAACAUGCCCAAAUACAGAGUCACCAAAAAAUCAACUCCCAUGCACAUAAAUCAAUCCCAAAAAAGUGUGAUGCCUGUAAAGCUCCAAGUAACAAAGCAUAGAAUCAAGGAAUUUGUAACACACAGAACUUAAUAAUCAUCCAUAUCAGAUAAACAUCCAAAUUCAAAUCCAUCUAAACAAAAUAAAACUGGUCCAUAGAAAUUUCAACCCCCGUAUUAAAAUAAGAAUUACCAGAUUCUCCAAGAUAGAAGUCAACCACAGAAAUCCUCCAACCAACAAUAUGACAUAAACCAUUCAACACAACAAUCAUAGAGUUCCUUGUUUUUACAUAAUACAACAGCAGCACAUCCUUCAAUGUAUAUAUGAGAUAUACUACAGUAAUGGAAAUAAACACUGCCAUGAAAGUUUAUUGUUGGCUAAUGCCCUCACAACAGAAUCCAUUAUUUCAAGGACAGGUUCCAUUUCUGGUACAAGUUCCCUACAUUUUUCUAUACAUAAACCAGUUUUUAGCGAGUUUACAUUUCUCUCCUUGUUUGACAGGAGUGACAUAAAAAAAGGUGGUAGCAACCAAAACCAACAAGCGCGGAACUUGUAUCAAAAACAAACUGAGAUGAAGAUGAGCUUAAGUUUGCUCCUAUCAGCCUCUCAGCACACCUGAAAUAAGAUAGGUAUAAUAACAAAUAUCCAAGGAUGAAACAACAUUCAUACAUACCUUGAGGUUGGCCAGUUUUUUUAUCUUUUAUUAAAGCAACCUCUAUCACAUCUCCAUGUUCUUCAAAUAAGUGCCGAAUCUGACAAAAGAUGAAUAAAUAAUAUCAUUUGUACAGGAAAUAAUACCAAAAAGCCCAAAAUGCAAAAUAGCUUAAUAUUACAUGGCAUUAAUGCUUAAAUGGUAUUCAUUCGAAAUAUCAAAUCGACAUCCAGCAUAUGAAGAUAAGUGAAUCAAAUUACAUAUCUGGAAGCAAAAGGAGAGUACAAACGGGAGUAUGAUAGUUUCAAAAGUAUCAUGCAAAAAAUGAACUGACUUACAUCCUCUUCUCUAGCCGUCCUUGGUACAGAUCCCACAAAAAGUUUGGCAAAAUUGCCCCCACCGCCAGCACCACCAAAUCGAUCUUGACAAAGCAAAAAGAAAAUAAAAACAAAGUAUAAGUAGAUAAAAUAAGUAAUGUAAUGGUCUGGGGAUGCAAUUAUUAUGGUCAGAAGUCAGUAAAGGAGGAUAAAAUUCGAAUAUGGAAAGCAGAAUUCAAGAUAAAUGAUCUGUAGCUAAAACCAUACAUGCAUCCAAGGAACAAAAAAUUCAAGUAAAUAUUGAGAACUUGGUAAAUUUAUAGUUCAAAAUGGAAGUCCAUCAAAUAGAAGCAAAUGCUAAGGAAAAUGCCCUAAAAUCUUUGAAUUGACGAAUUAUUCAAUUAGUGGAAGCAGUAAAUGAGUGAAAAAUUACAAUUGAAAAAUAUAAAAUAACUUGGAUUGUAAGCAACAAAACGAACCUCUGUUGGGGGAACCACCUCCACGGCCAGAAAAUGGAAAAGGUCGUUUCUGUCCCGUAUGAGCUGGCUGCAGAUGAUGCGGUGAAGGGUUUGGAUAAUUACCCUCAAAACCACCGGCCAUAGGCCGAAACCCUCCCCCUCCUCCGCCACCUCCAAUUGGUCGAAAGCCUCCACCUCCGCCACCGCUGUUGUGAUGCUGACGAGGAGGACUAUCGAAGGGACGAUGUCCUCCUCCUCCUCCACUGCCACGGAAGUUGCUAGGGCUACGUCGACGGUGUUGGUAGGGAUCUUGGGCAUCGAACUUAUCGUUGAAAUUAGUAUUGGUGUCGGUGUUAAUGCUGUUAUAGCGGCUCAUAGGAGAAGCGUCGGAGAAACGCGAGGGUCCUCUAUAGUAACGGUCGUGAAUAUUGUUAUUAUAGUAAGAGUCUUGGUUGUUGUUGGUGGUGGUGUUGUUGCCAUCGCCAUAGCGGUCGGCUCUGUACCUAUCCAGCUUUGCUGAGUGUGUUUAAGCUCAAAGUUGAAGCCCUAAACUUGAAAUUUGCAGAAACUAAAACAAAGAGAAAAUGUUACUACUAAAAACAAGUCGAAAGAAGAAAAUAGAUAGAGACCAAAAAAUACGCAAAGUGAAAGGGAAUUUUGGUUGGAGUUUUCAAGGGGGCAAAGCGGGUCAGGUCACGGCAGGACAAGUCCUUUAUAGGAAGUAGUUUCUGGGCUCCCUAAUAAUGGCCCAAUUUAAUUGUUUUGGCCUUUUAGAGGUCUCAUUUAGCCCAAUCUGAAUGAAGUUUGAGUUUGGUUUUUCGUGCGAUACAUCAUGAGUUCAUUGCCAUCUACCAACAAAAUAUCAGUUAACUCAUACGGAGCUUCAUUAGAGUCAAACUGAAAAUUAAAAUUCGAGUUUUGCUUUUCUAAAUAUAUGCUUUCACAUCCAUUGUUGGAAUCGGUGUAGGAAAACCCUGCAAUUACCAAAUAAAGUUUGUAAAAGGUGAUUUACCUUAGUUGCAUUUGUUACUAAGCUAAUGACUGCCAUAUAGAGAGCAAGGUUGAGUCCAUCCCAGAGGGCCCAUAGUUUUGCUUCGGUGCUUGUAGCUCUCGGGAUGCAUCUAAACGACCCUAUAACCCAAUCCCUAAAUAAUUUCUAAUAACAGUUCCCGCCCCGACACAACCAGGGUUCUUAAGCACAAAGCCAUCCAUGUUAACCUUAACAAGGCCAAGUUUAGGUUUUUGCCAUCCAAUAAGGAUGAAACAAGCUUGUGGAACUCUUUUAAUGCUACUAGCAGCAAAAAAUUUUGUUGCUUUUCCUGUAGUCAAGUUGACGAGAAGAUUAGGGUUUGGAUUAUUGGUAAAGAGUAAGACAUUUCUCAAUAGACAAAUCUCUUAUAGCAUGAAUGUAAACACUAAGGGCCACCGGGCUUUUGGCUUAACCAGCCAGGCUUUUUCAAUGAUGUUCAAGUCAAGCCAAUCGGUCCAUUUACUAUCCCAAUAGGAUCUUAAGGGAGCACGGUUUUUAACAGUCGAUCACCACCCCUUAGUUAUUGUGCAUUCUCUAAAGAUAUGCUCGAUUGUUUCCGGGGAGUUUCUACAAAACAAGCAGUCCCCGGUUUCAUUUAAUCACAUUUCCCAGUGUCUGAGGAAGUCUUUUGUCGGGAUGAUUUUUUUGAAGGAUUUUUAGAGAAAGAAUUGAAGCUUGGGUGGUAGUUUUGCUUUCCAAAUAUUUUUCCAAUGUUGUUCUGACUAGUUGAGAUUUAAACUCCUGGUUUCUUGACCAUGGAUCAUUUCAUAGGUGGUUUCCAGAGAAAAUCUUCCCGAGUUUGUUAAGUUCUAACAGAUUGUUCACGCUUUAUAUGGGGAAAGGGUGCAUAGGAAAAUCUAUAGUAUAUCCCUAGGAAUUUGGAAUGUUAAGGCCUUUCAUUUUCAUGACCGUAAAUGAAUGGUUAGCAUCAUCACAAGUGAGUGGGCCGAUUAUGAUUUUUCUCAAAGGGCUAAGGCCAAACAAUUUAUAAAGCUAAAAUCUAGUAUUUCCACUAUAUUUGAUUACCCAUCUCAAGCCCUCUUCAUUAAAAUGACUAGUCUUUUAAAAGGCUUUCGAAAUAGGUGAUGCGGUGCGAUUAUGAUGAUAUGGAUUUUAGGGUUUCAUAUACUUGGUAAGAAGAACUCUUACCCACAAACUCCCCCUCUCGUGAAUAAGUCGCCAACUAAGGUUGACCAUUAAAGCAUGAUUUCUCUUUUUUGCCUUUCUUAUACCUAAUCCACUAAGGGGCUUUGGUUUAGUGAUGGUAUCCUAGCUAGUGAGGUGGAGUUUCCUCUUUACUUCUAUUCCUCCCAAAGAAAGUUUCUGUUAAUUUGGUCAAUCAUUUUUCAUAUAAAGGUUGGGAGGAGAUUUACUUACAUGAAAUAAGUAGGGAUAGAAGUUGUGGUAGCUUGAAUGAGCGUAAGCCUUCCAACUGGGAAAAGAGGUUGGCUUUCCAAGAGCUAAGAUUACCACUGUAACACCUUAUACCCAACCUGAUUGACUGGUUCGAAUACAAGAUGUCACAUUAACUCUGAAACAAACUACGAACAAAUUUCAACUAAAUUGUAAAACUAACAUAACUAAAACUGCCAAAUAUGCUUUUAUUAAUCAUACUUACCUUAGUUAGUUGAACUACUAAAUGAACAUACAAUUAUGAAUAUCUAGAUAAAAAGUCUUAACAAGUGAACAUAUGUACAAUUAACAAUAACAGUUCUAAUAUUUUUAAUUAAUUUAUCUUCGUUGUAAAUAAAAUACUACAAUUUAUAUUUAGUUACAAAAAGAACAUUUUGAUCUUACGGCUCAACCUCUAGGUCGCCCCACUAUAUGCGUGUUACAGCUAAGUGUAACACUCAUAACCUAUACCCAUAGCUAGAUUAAGGUUGCGUCGUAUUACCGUACAAUCCAAAACAAUCAAUAACAAUGGCAUCAAGUUUACCAAAAUAAUUAACAAUUUCAUAAAUAAUUCAGACCGGAGUAACAUAUACAUUUAUGGGCCUUAAAUCGAGCCUAUGAGGCCUUAAACAUAGUUUAGGAAUAAUCAGGGGCCAAUUCGAAAUAGAUCAAAAGAUUUAGGGAAAAAUGAAAAAAAUUCGAAAUAGGGGUCACAUGGCCAUGUGACAAAGCCGUGUGAUAGAGCCUAGACCAUGUGGCUCAGGACAUGAUCGUGUGGCUACUAGCACGCCUGUGUAAUUACUCCGCACGCUCAUGUAACUCACUGUGACCGUGUAGCUCAGGGUUACACAGCCGUGUUAUCAGGUCAUGUAACUCUCUAUGCUCAUGUGGACCAACCUAUACCAUAAUACACUAAAGGCACGCGCCCGUGUGGGUUGCCCAUGUGUGACACACGGCCAUGUGGCUACUCGUGCCCCAGGCUAUGUGUACCCAAAAAUGACCCAAAACAAGCUAAAUUUUCAUCCAAAUGCUUAAGUAUCUAAACCAACUUAUAACAUAUGAUCACAAGACUUCAAAACACAUUUUAAAACGUCCAAAACAUGCUAAAUCAAUCCAUCUAAGACUUAACUCGUGUGUCAUCAAUGACACAACAUCUUAAUCAUCCAACAUUUCCUUACUUUAGUUGCAUUACACACUCAAAUAUAACUUACCUUCAAUUCCUUUAUACCAUACCUAAUUCAAGCCACACUUACCAUUUCAUGCUUGUUCACUUAUGCUUAAACAUGAAAUUAUAUAUACAUACCACAUUUAACUACUCAUACCAUAAUAUUAAAAUGUACAACCAAAACAUAUUACAUGUACUUAUGAAACAUUAUAGAACAUAAUCGAAUGCUCUUAUUAGAUGCCAUAUAAGCCAAAUCGAAUUCAUAAUCUACCAAAGAACCUUGGAUAGUGUGAUUCUUUGAGUUGAUCUGAUCUCUCGAUUUUCCUCAAACGUUAUCUAUAAGAAAGCGCAAACAAACAUGAGUAAGCAUUUAUAAAGCUUAGUAAGUUCGUCGAUUAAAUGAUAAAGCUUAUCGAAUUAAACAUAAUAAUUCAAAUAACAAAAUUUAUAAAUAGAGUUCUUAUUAACAAGGUUAUUAACAGAGUUCCUGUCAUUCACAGCUCACAACAGGGUGAGUAAUGCUCAAACAAUAGUACAAAUUAAUUUCCAUAUUUCAAUAACAUCCAAUGAUCAUUAAAACAAUGCCUAAUGAACAAUAUAUGAAUACGAGUACACGGUUAACUAUCUAGCACACCAGAUGCUCGUAUGAGCCAGACCAACCAAACACACCAUGACACCAAGUGCCUAGCCCGUAGGCUUAAAUCUCCCAUCGUAGCACACCAGAAAACAUUGUAAUAUAACACGAUAGUCCGUAACAAAUGUAGGACCUCGGCAUAUCCAAUGAAUAGAGAAUAUACAAAAAUCAUCUCCAUUGCUCAAAUCGAUCCCAUACUGUGAGCAAAAUAGCCUAUUGGCAUGCCAAUCGUACUCUAUCCUACGUUCAUCGGCUCAGAAGAUAUCAUCAAUAAUCAAUGUUAUAAAUGAUUAUUUAUUUCAAUUCUCAUUUACAAAGCAUCAAAUGUAUCAACCAACAUUUAAAAAUUAAAUCUCUAUUCGAUAAAAACGUAAAAUGUAUUAAAAUUAAACUGAACGAACUUACCAGACUAAACUGUAAUGAUGACAAAGAUACAAUGACUACUCAGCAAUUUCUCUAUGCCUCGAUUUUCAUCCUAUUCUUGAUCAAGAAUAAUAAUUUCAUUCAAUUAACUAAUUCCAACAAUAAAAGUAAUUAAUUUAUGCAAUUAAGUCCUUUUAGAUAUUUACAAAAUUUCCCUUAAUAUUUUAUUUUUAUGCAAUUUAGUCCUUAGGCCCCAAACUUGCAAUUUAACCAAUAUUAAAUAAAACCCAACCUUGCCGAAUCGUGUAGAACUAUACUACAGCCCAUUUUUACAGUUAAUUUACAUCAAUUCCUUGAAAUUUUAUCAAUUUAACAAUUUAGUCCUUAAACAUUAAAAUCAUCAAAAACUACUUUACAAAAUAGUCCUAUUUGUCAACCAAGAUUAAUAACCUAUCAUAAAACUUCAAGAAAACACUAAAAUCAUAAAUGACAUAAUUCAUAACAUUUAAUAGUUUUAUAAAUUGGUCCCCCGAUUAGCUAGAUCAAGCUAAUACGAGCUCGAAAACAUAAAAAUUACUAAAAAUGGGCAAGGUUUACCUAUCAAACAAGGAACCCUAAGCUUGGCCAAAAGCUUUCUCCUCUCCUCUUAUGGCUAUUCGAUUUUGAAAGAAAGAAUAGAGAAGAUGAUAGCUUUUAAUUUUUGUUAUAUUUUAUUAUACUUAUUUAAUUUAUCAAAUUACUAAAUUAACCUUUAAUUUCUAAUGAAAUUUCAACUUAUUAAUCACCCAAACUGUCCACUAACUAUACAAAUUGUAUAAUUACUAUUUAAGGAGGGUUUAAUUUCACAAUUAGUCCUUCAAUUAUUUUAAAAUUUUAACUAAACAAGCUUACUUUCAAUUUAACCCUAAACUAAUUAGGAUUAAAUGAGCAAACAACCCAAAAUUUAGUGGAUUAAUCUUAUCCACCACCACUUGGACUUUUUAACCAUGGUUUAAUCACCAUUUUGGUCCAUUAACUAAUUUAAAUCUAUAGCGAUUAACUUUUACCUUUUUUACAAUUUAAUCCUUUUACCGAAAUUAAGCAAUAAAUCAUUAGAAUUACCGAACCAAACUUCAAUUCACAUAUAAUAUGACUAUAAAUAUUUAAUAAAAUAUUCACGAGCUCGGUUUACAAAAACAGGGUCCUGAUACAUCUUUUUUUGAAACUACUUGACUUUUGGGACAAUCAUUUAUACUAGCCAUUAAUUCAGUUAAUUAAAAAUUCACCAAAUCAAAAUUCAAUAUAAAAUUAUUAUUGACUUGUAUAAUUUAAAUACUAAUUAUACAAACUUACUUGUCAGAUUUAUGGCCUCGAAACCAUUGUUUCUGACAACUUUGAAAAAUGGGCUGUUACACUAAGAACAUAUGUUUGCCUGAGCUUGAACAAAUUCUGGCUCAAUCCCACUUCAGCUCCUUAUAUAAACCAUUAUACCUACAAAACAUAACAAAAAUUAAGUUCAAAUGAACUUAGUGAGUUUCUAAUAUAAUAUACCGCUUUGUGAAUUAUAAGUAAGAAUUUCAUAGGUUUGAUCUAUUGUUUGACAGCGCUUGCACAAGUAGGGUUCGUACAUUCUUCCUAUCAUACUCCUGUCCUCCUUUAAGUUGGCUCAACUUAAAAUUUUGUACACCUUCGGCAUUGCUACAAUCCUCCAUUUCAAUCGCUCAUGCUAUAAGCUACAAUAUGGAAUGAAUUUGCUCAGGUUUCUUACAAGAUAAAUCAUUACCUCUUUUGCCAACAAACAUGUGCGUAUUACCUUAGCAAUUAUUAUCAUUGCAGACCAAUGUACGGUGGAUUGAUUUUAAAAGAGUCAUGCAUAGAGAUUCACAUGUGGAGAAUUUUUACCUACGGUUUUACACUUAAAGUCUUACAAACUCAUAUUCAAGCAUGGCAAACACAUACUUGCAGACCAUACUUGCAAAUCCUUUAUAUGCGAAAUCAUCAUCAUAGAUUCAUAUAUGCAGAUUUCUACUUGUGAACUCUUUCUUAAAUGGUAGUUACUGUCUAACUCUUGUUCGACGGAUUGUCACGACCAAACUCUUGUUUUAAAGAUAAUUCUUGGCGGAUUCCUAUAUGAAAGAAGAUCUUUUCAGUUUUGAUUUGAGAAAAAUAACUUAUACAAAUUCUACUAGCUUGAACAUAAGAAUAAGUUCCGGCGGUCUCUUGCUUGGAUAAUGUCCAUGCUGACUCUUACGAAGGAUAGUCCCUUUGAUAUCUUAAACUUGAAACAUAAAUAUAAGAUCAACAUACUCCCAUAGCUUGAAUCAUAAUGAUAAAUCCAACGAACUGUCAUACAUAUAGAUUCAUGUAGAAGAUUCAUGAAUCCAAACUCCUAUAUGGCGAACUCAUGCCUGCAGAUUCGUAAGCGAGUACUUACAUAUAAAUGCGGAUUCAUAGAAGAAACUUCAUAAAUGUGGUGGACUCAUACAUGCAGAUACAUGCAAAUUCAUAUCAUGCACUUAACCUUUAAAAUUUCUAAUUUACUUAUGCUUCUCGAUAAUUUAAACCGCACGAAUAUAAUUUCUCUACACAUAAUCUAGAAAUAUCUAUUGUUAUGAAUUUCCAUUGACUAUGUAAUGUGACAGUUCUAUUUCUGAGAACUUGAAAACUAAACUAAUGUUUCUAUAGAGAAUUCAAGAAUUUCAGGAAGUUGAUCCAGAGUUACUAGUUAAAUGAUGACUUGUUAAAAAUGAUCAGACUUCAAAGUAUAGUGUUAUUGGUAAUGGAUAUUUAUGUUUUCGAAAUUGUUUAUGUCUGUACUAAACAUUCAGACCUAAAAUGAGAUAAUUUGCGUGGAACUCAUAUCAGUGCUUAUUCAUUUCAAUAGAUCAGUAUUAGAGUGUGUAGUUUUAUGAAACAAUUGUUCUUAUGGUAAAUUAUGAAAAGAGAGAUUUCAGAAUAUAUGAAAAAAUAUUUUAUACGUCAGUAAACUAAAGCUAAGCAUUGAGUUCUGUCAGGUUUGUUACAACCUAUGAUGAUUCUGGAAUGGAGAUGGGAUCAAGUCAAUGUAAACUUCAUAUAAGGUUUAUCGCUAUCACCGAUAAAGAAAAACACAAUCUAGGUUAUUGUUAAAAGACUUACCAGAUUCGUACAUUUCAUUUUGGUUAGAAUAGAUUAUUCACUCGAGAAGUUAACUGAAUUUUUGCAUCGUAACAACUACCAAUCAUGUAUUAAAUGUUGUCAUAUAAAGCUUUAUACAGUUGUAAUUGCAGAACUUCAUUGUACUGGUCAGAAAUAAGUGAAAGAAAGCUAGUUGGGAUUAAUUUGAUUUGAGAAACAAAAAAUAAAUUUCGUAUAUUCGAAACUGUUUAGAAGCUGCUUCAGAUCGUCAAAAAUCAUAUACUGAUCAAGAAAGAAAGGAUAUCGAGUCUUAGAAAGUAAAGCUUAGACCGAGGUUCAUAGGAUCGUAUGAAAUUAUCGAGAGAAUUAGACUAGUGGCUUGCAGUUUAGCAUUGCCUCCGGAACUUGAACAGAUUCACAAUAUUUUUUUUUCACGUUUCGAUGCUACGAUGGUAUAGGUCAGAUCCUUCCCAUGUGAUUACUCCUAAUGAGGUAGAAUUACAGUUUGACUUAUUAUAUUGAAAAGAACCGAUAAAGAUCUUGACACAAUAAGAAAAAUAACUUCGCAAUAAAAGGAUACAGUUAGUGAAAGUUCUAUGGCAUUGACACAGCAUAGAGGAAGCUACUUGGGAAACAGAAGAAUUUAUGAGAACACAGUACCUAAUUUGUUCACAGGUAAAAAUUUCGAUGACGAAAUUUUUUAAGGGGGAGAGUUGUAACAACUUGUUUUUCAAUGGUGUCGAAAACAGUGGGUUCGGGACCCUAAUUCUGACGAGUAAGUCCGUAAAUAUUAAAUAUUAUUAUUUAUGAGUCAAUUAUAGUAUUAUAUUGAAUUUUUAUAUAAUAAAUUUACUAAUUGGACAGUUAGUUAAAGUACAAAUGGUUUGACCAUAAAGUUAGUGGUUUUGGAAUAUGAGGUGUUAGGACCUCAUUUUCGUAAACUGAGCCUAUCGUAAAUAUUUAAUAUAAAUAUUUACAUGGUUAAUUAGGGUAAAAAUCAAUCGUUGUUGAUUUUUUAUUAGUUAAAAUGGUUUAAAUGGUAAAUGUUUAAGGAUUUAAGUGACAAUUAACCACUUUUAAAAGAUAGUGUACAGUAGGGACACUAAUUAAUUGAAAAUUAUGUUAAAUAAUGUUUAAUUAAAGAUUAAACAUAUGUUAAAAUAAGGUAAAAAAGUGUUUACUUCAUCAUUUUUCUUCUUCUCAUCACUGUUUCUUCAUCAAGUGAAACUAGGAAAGCCAUUGUUGAUGCUCAUACUUUUGGCCAUUGCAUGUAAGUCCUAAACAAGUUGAUUUUUUUGUAAUUUUUAUGUUUUUGAGAUUGUGUAACUUAAUCUAGCUAUCCCAAUUACUAAAUCGUAAAACUACCAAAGGUUUUAAAAUUUUCAAUUCAUUAUUUUUGAGGUUUUUGAUGUUUAAUGGUAGGAUUUGAAGCUUGGAAAUGUACUAGGACGAAUUUGUAAAGUGAAAUUUGUUAGUUUUGAGUUUAAUGACUAAAAUGAAAAUAUUUCAAAAUUAACAUGAAAUUUCUAUAAUUAUUGAAUUUAUAGGGCUAUACAAGGAUGAAAUUAAAAUUAAAAUGAAAAAAUAGGGCUUAAACGUAAAAAUUAUGACAAUUUGGUUUUAAGGACUAAAUUGAAUAAAAUGAAAAACUUUAGAGAAAUUGUUUAAAAUGAAAUUAAGUUGUCAUAUGACUUGAAUAGGAUGUUAUAUGGUAAUUGGAAUUGAUAAUUGGCAAUAAAUUAUUAUAGAUCAGGAUUUAAAUAAAUCAAAAGUUAAUUGAAAAUUAGCCCCUAGCACUUUGUAGUUGUCGUUUUCCAAGUAAGUUCAUAGGAGACUUAUUUUAUUAAUUCAUAAUAUGUUUGUGUUAUAUUGUGUAAUUUUCUAGUUGUAUUAUUGUGAUUAUAAUGUUUGGCAUCAAAUAGACUCAAUCGUAAAAUAUAUAUUAAAUGAUAAAUUUGAAUAAGUAUAUGCUAUUGAAUGGAUUUGAUCAUUUAUGUAAUUGAAUAGUAUGUAUGUGAUGAUGUUUUAAGAUUUAAAAUGUAUAUGGAUUGUUAUUCAAUUUAUGAAAAGUGUAUAUACGGUUACAUGAUUAAAAUGAUAUAGAAAUUGUAACGAUACCUAAAUGAAUUUAGUAAAUGAUUAGAAUAUGAAUGACAUACCAUUAAGGUUCAAAAGGUAAUCCAACAUUGGUCAGGGAUUUCUUUAUCAAUGGCUGAAAUCCAACCUGUGUUGAGGAUUCUCGACAGCUCGAGUGAGUAGCAUAAAAUAAAGUUGCAAAAGUAAACCUGACAUACAACUUGUGUGACCAAAUUCAAAUAUCACAACUUUUGUGAGCAAAUCGAAUUAUUCUUUAUUGAUGCUUGAGAUCCAACAUAUAUUGUGGAUUCACAAUAGCUUGAGUGAGCAUUAUCAAAUAAAGCUUGUAUAAGCAAAUCAACUCUACAGUUUGUGGAAUUAAAUUAGUUCCGUGUAUCUGAGUUCAAUAUUCUUUAAUUCUUUGAGCGAAAAUAGAAAGUGAAAUGGAUGAAAUGGUGGUACAUGAAUGAAAAUAAAUAUACAUGUAUGUGUUUGCAAAUGAGUCAUGAAAUGGCUAUUACAUGUUAUGAAAUGAGUUGUUAAAACAUGUAUUUGAUUAUCUAUUAAAUUCAUGUCAUGUAAAUGAAUUAACCUCUGAAUGUACUUAUUGAUGUACAUGCGAAAAUAAUAGGAUGCCAAAGGAUUUCCAUGUUAGCCUCAGUAUGUCUUAAUAUUUUAAAUUUUUGAUUGAUCAAUGUAAGUUAAGUAAAAUUUUACAUGAACUUACUGAGCAUAAUAAUGCUUACUUUGUUGUGUUUUCUCUGUGUAACACCCCUAACCCAUAUCCGUCACCGGAACAGGGUUACAGAGCAUUGUCAGAGUUUACAUAUCAAUUAUAAUCAUUUCAUAUCAUUUACUAUUCAUACCCGAAAUCAAACAUAUUCAUUUAUAAUAUCCCUUAUAUGGGCCCCUCCAGACCCAAUUUAUGUAUUAGAAACAAGUCGGAACAAAAUCGGGAACUCAGAGAAUUUUUCACUAAAUUUCAAAAUUUUUAUUAGGUGCAGAGGACACACGCCUGUGUGGCUAGGCCGUGUAGACAUUCGAUAUGAGGCACAUAGCCAUGUUCUAGCCCGUGUCCAUACCCUUGUAACUCUCUGACUUGGGUCACAUGGACAUCUACACGCCCAAAUGCUAGGUCGUGUGGACAAUUUAAUUUUCGAAAAUUAGGUGUAGGGGACACACGGCCAAAUCACACGCUCGUGUGCAUGGUCGUGUGUCAUACGCGGCUGAGACACACACCCAUGUCUCUGCUAUUGUGGACAAAAAAUAGGCCAUUUUCAGGCCACUUUUCUCACCAAAUUCACCUUUCACCUACAACACCAUCCAAACACAUUCACAAGCCAAUUCAUAACCCUCAAAUCAAUGUCAAUAUCAAAUUUUAUGCAUGGCAUAUUAUCUUAUAUGUUCAAGUGUUAAGCUUACCAAAUACACAUUUACGCUUAUAGGCAUACUUUAUCAAUUAUGCUAAUUCAAAACCAUUCAUCAAUAGGUUUGUAUACUCCCCAUCAUAUCACCAUUUUAUCACACAUCAAACUUGUUAAGGCCUUAUAUAAUUACAUCAAAAUAAGCCUUACACUAGCCAUUUCAAUGGCUAGUUACAACCAAAAUAUUUCAUCAUUACGCCUAACUUAGCUUAUACAUGUCAUUAUACCAAAAGAUAGCUUGCUUUAUAUAUUGAGAAGUCUGAGGGAUAGUGUGUUGUGUUUCCAACCAAGUUCCAACCUUUACGAGCUUCCAAGUACUAUGAAAUAGAGGAAAUAAGAACCGAGUAAGUAUUUAAUGCUUAGUAAGUUCGUAUGAUUGAAAAUUUAACUUACAAUUCAUUUCUAUUAAAGUAAACAUACUAAAUGCAUCCAAGAGAUUUGGCUAAUCGCCUAAACACCCAACUUCAUUAAACAUGUUAGUCAUUGUAAUUCACACAAUUGUCAAGAAACAUGAAUGAGCUGAUCACGUAAUAACUUUCAUAUACAUAUACUUUCCUUAACAUAUUUACUUAUAACAUGUACAUUUUCAUAACAAAUCAUCACAAGUUCAGCUUAGCCCAUGUCAGAACUUUUCUCAUUGAAUUUAUUGGAAAUAUCGAUAGACACACUUGUAGUACACUUAAAGUGUACAAAACUGUAAUUCGUCAAUUCAUAUUCAAGGGUACUCAUUAGAGAACAAAAUUAGGAAGCACUCUCUCGAGCCAUAUAACAAGAAGCUCGUAUGAGCCAUGUAACAGGAAGCUUAUCCGGGCUUAAUAAUAGGAAACUUAUAAGAGUUUAAAUCAGAAAGCUCAUGUGAGCUUAACAGGUAACCCCGAAGAGUUAUUAUCAGGAAGCUCUGGAUAGCCAUAUACCAGGAAGUUCAAACGAACCUAUAUCAGAAAGCUCAUUAAAAGCUAUAUAUCAGGAAGCUCAUAAAGAACUGUGGUAUGUCCGUAAUACAUGUAAGAUCAAUACUGAUCAUAUAAAAGGACGCUCACAAAGAGCUGUAGUAUGUUUGCAACACAUGUAGGAUCAAUACCGAUCAUGAUGCUCCCAGAAACCAUAUAACGGAAAGCUCAAGAGGGCUUAUAACGAGAUGCUCAUGAGAGCUAUGGUGUGUUUGCAAGAUAUGCAGAAUCACAACCAAUUGAAAAUCCUGUAUUCAUCAAAUUCCAUGUAUUCAAACAGAAUUUAACAUUUAUUGAGUAUUUUCAGAUAUAAUAUUAAUUUCAUAUUCAUAGAAACAAUACAAUCACAUACACAAUAUUCAAUUCAAGCAUUUAAAUAUAUACAGUUUAGUUACACUAUAACAGUCCAGUUUUGACCCUAGUCGGAAUAGUAGUUUUGGGAUCACAAAUCUGAGUCCUAAAAAUAUUUUAAUAUUAUUUUCUGUGUCUAUGAUAUGUAAAUUGAUACGUGUGAAAGUCUCGUGCGAAAAUUUAACUGUUUGUGUGCUUAAUUUGCAAAAAUGACCUAAUCGCAUAAAAUGUAAAAGCUAUGUGCUAGAUGUUAAAGUGCCUAUUUGAGUUGGCUUUCUAAAGUAAAGGUCCUUAUGUGGUUAUUUGACCAUUGAAAGUUUGAAUGGACAUAAAAGGGCAUGUGUUAGGUGAAUUUAUAAAUGUUUAAUAAAGGUUAUAAUGGUCAAAUGUUUAAUAAAUUAAUAUAUGUUAUAAAAAAACAUGAAUAUAGGCAUUAUAUGCUUUGUUUGUAUCGAAAAGUGAAGAACAAAAGAAAAGAUAAAGAGUUCUAGGGUUUGGCUAGUUGGAAGCUUAAUUCGGGUAUGUUUUUGCUUCGAUUUUUAAUAAUUUCUACGUUUUCGUGAUAAUUGCUAAGUGUACUAUAAAGCCCAUGCCUCAAUUUUUAAUUUUGAUGGUGAUUUUGAAAUAUUCCAUGGAUGAAUACAUGAGUUUCGUGUUGUUAAAUGGUGAAAUAUGAAAGCUUGAUGUUGGGUUUACAUUUUUGUCUUUGGAUUUUAGUUAAAUUUGAGCAAAUUGGGCUAAUUUGUGAAAAUGUUAUUUUGAGGGACUAAAAUGUGAAAUAAAUGAAAUGUGUGGACUUGUAUGAGAGCCAUGAAAAUUCGGCUAAGCUUGUGUGCAAACAAAUUUUGUGUAUUUUGUGAAUUUGUGAAAUAGGGACUAAAGUGUCGAAAUGUGAUAAUAUGAGGGCUAGUUUGUAAAAUACCCUAAAUAUGUUUAUGAGUUGAAUUAAUUAGUGAAUAAAAGGGUUAAUUUUGAAAACUUAUAGAUCAAGAAAGGAGGAAUUCAGACUUAGAUCGAGGAAAGUCGAAGGUUAUCGAGUAGAUAGUUCGAGUCGACAAAUUCUGAGUACGAGGUAAGUUCGUACUUAAAAUGUGAUGUUAAUUAAGUUUUGAUGCCUUUAUUCUACAUGGGUUGUAUAUAUUUGAAGUGGAUAAUAUGGUGAUGAAUCGGAAGCUUUGGCACUAAGUGUGCGAUUUAAACUAGCUUUGGCACUAAGUGUGCGAUUUAACUCGCUUCGCCUACUUGAGGCACUAAGUGUGUGAUAGCGACUUAGUCUCGGUUAUUCGAGAUGGAACUAAGUGUGCGGAAAUAUUUAGCUUUGGCUAACCUUAUAGUACUAAGUGUGCUGAUGUGUAAAACACGAAUAACUUAUGGAAAGUCUUAUAACAUUCAACAUGAGGUAAGUACAAAAGUGAAUAAGUACGAGAAGCUUCAAGUAUGUAUAAUGCCUAAGUGGUAGAUGAUGUUAUGUAUAUGAAUCUCUUUGAGUUGAUAUAGUUAUAUGGAUUGAAAUUGUGCAAAUCCUCAUAGGUUAUCAUUUUAUGUUUAUAUACUAUGAAUGUGUUGAGUACGAGCUUACUAAGCUUUUGAAAGCUUACUCUAUGUGAUUACUGUCUGUUUUACAGUUAUCGUAGCUACUGAAGGCUUGGGGAUAGUCGAGGAUCGUCACCACACUAUCGAUCUCAUUUUGGUACUUUUGAAAAUGUAAAUAUUUGAAGUAUGGCAUGUAUAGGCUAGUAGUUGUGAAGUAUGUUUUGUGAUGUAUAUAUAUAUAGCCAUGUGAUUUGGCUAAUUUGUGUUUGAACUUAUGGUUGAAAAAGGUUUAGGAUAUGUGAUGUUAAGUUGCAACUAUGGUAUGAAUGAUAUAUGUUUUAGCAUAAAGAAUGGUUGAUUGGGUUGUACAUGUAUGUUUGUUUCCUUGUUGUAGGUUGACCCAUAAUAGGUGCCAAGUUGGCUUAAAUCAAGCCUGCAUUGUGCCACACGGUCAGGGGACACGGGCGUGCCUUGUGACCGUGUAAGAAAAACAGUAUUCUCUUAAAAAUUAUACGGCCUUGACACAUGGGCAUGUCAUAUAGCCAUGGGCUAAAGUCAGUAGCUAGCUUAGUAUCACACGGCCAUAGCACACGGGCGUGCCUAUUGGCCGUGGGUGAAAGUCAGUAUGGUCACCCUGUUUUGGCACGGCUGGUUCACAUGGGUGUGUCUGAUACCCGUGUAAGGCACACAGCCUGGUCACACGGGCGUGUGACCUUAACAGAAUAGAAAAAUUUCCUAAGUGUUGAAAGUUGUGAACAUGUUCGGUUUAGUCCCGACUUCUUCCUAAUGCAUGUUUAAGGUCUCAUUGACCUAAGAAAUGGACUCACGUUGAUGUUUGACUAUGAUGCUAUGAUGUUUAUAAAAUGAAUGCAAAGUGUUUAGAUAUGUUUGGUAAUGCCGCUUAACCCUAGUCCGGCGAUGGAUACGGGUUAAGGGUGUUACAUACACGAACUUACCUCAACACUUGUUCGUAUACGAGAAUCUACUAAUCUGAUACUUUUUGUUUUCCUCGAUCCAAUUCAGUACUAGGUCUAUCCGGAUCUAUACGAGUAAAUUUAACUCAAUUUAAUGAAAUUCAUAUUCAAUUCAAUCAAAUUCACAUUUUAGGCAAAAGUACCAUUUUGCCCCUAUACUUAAUUAAUUCCAAUUUCGUCCCUAGGCUCAGAAAAUGAGAUUUGCAAUUUAAUCCUUAUUCCAAGCAUAGCCAAAUUUUUCAUAUAACAAUAAUAGUCCAUGUACUUCACAAAAAUUAUAAAAUUUUCAUGAAUUUUACAUCUUUUUAAUUUAGUCCCUAAAUCACAAUUUCAUGAAAAUUUGUUUUACAAAAGUUGUUUAUUUAUCAACAACCUUUCAUUUUCUACCAUAAAUUUCAAAAUUUCAGCAUACUCAACCAUGGAAAAAUUUUAAUACUUUGAUAACUUUGCAAAUUGAUCCCCAAAAUAGAUAGAUUAGGUUAUUAGGAUAUCAGAAAUGUAAAAAUUACUAAAAACGGAACAUGAUUACUUACCCAAUUAAGCUUGCUUUAAUUUCUCUCUCUUAGCUAGGGUUUCCAUAGAAACAUUUUGGGAAGAUGAUGAAAUAAGAUGAUAUUUUUAUUUUUUAAUUGAUUAUCAACUUUUAUUUUCCCUAUUUCCAAUUUAGUCAUUUUCUUUUCUUAAAUUUCCAUGGAUGAAUCAUCAUAAAUAUUUACUAACUUCUCUUAAUGGUCUAUUUGCCUUAUAAGGACCUCAAAUUUUGAAUUCCAUAGCUAUUAAUCCCUCUAGCUACUAGAAUUCAACUUUUUCACUUUAUACAAUUUGGUCCUUACUAACAAUUAAACAUGAAAUCGGUAAAAUUUUCUUAUCGAAAUUUUCAGACGUCUUUCCUAUCAUAAUGCAGAUCAUGCAAUAAUAUUAAAAUAAAUUUCCUUUCUUACUCGAAUUUGUGGUCCCGAAACCACUGUUCCGAUUUCACUGAAAACGGGCUGUUACACUCUGCAUGUAGUUAUCUUUUGUGGAACUCAGUGGAUCAGAUCACUCCAAAGCUCACACUACCCAGCUUCAAUCUCGGUAGACUUUUUAAUUGUUCAAAACUCGAUUUUGUGGCAUUUAUAUAGGCUUGAUAUGUAUAAGUGUCAUUUGGAUGUUAAUAGUUAUGAUGUGCACAUAAUACUUGUGCUUGAUGACUAUAUGAUCGGUGUAUAAGUUUUGUUAAGUGUUUAAAUUCAUUUGAAUGGUGAUGUUUGGAUCUAGUUUGUGCUAGCAUCGUAAAUGUUUCAUGCUUUGAAAUUAAAGGUACAUAAGUAUGCAUAAAGGCCAAUGUUAGCUUUGGUUGUUUCAGUUAAGGUGACAUGAAAGACACAAAGGAACUGAUAUAUUAACAUGUUGGCUAUUAGAAUGUUUUGUUUGAAUGGUGUGGAAGACUUGUUUUUGGCAUAUUGGUUGAAUGAAUAUUUAGACAUGUUUUUGGAAUGUUUUUUUGCAUGUUUGAAUAGCCUUAUAUGUAUCAUUUAAGACUUUGGUUUAUCUUGACACGAAAUAGGUACAUAAUGACAUAUUUGUACAACACGGCUGUGUGUCACACACGGGCUGGUGACAGGACCAUGUGUAUACUGCAAAUUAGGAAACAUUAAACCCACACGAUUCCCAAUUGUCACAUGGGCUAGCUGCACGCUUGUGUAAGUACUGUAGAUUUGGUCAUUUAAGUUUCACACAGUCUUAGUUUGUUACAUGACCCAGCCACACGAUCGUGUGACUUUUCAUUAAAUUUUACAAUUUGAUCCACACAGCUUCAGAGAGUUACACAACCUGGACAUACGCCCUAUUUUGCAUAAUUACCUUUAUCUAUUGAAAAUGUUACAAUUUGAACCCUGUUUGUUUCCAGGUCAAUUUUAGAGCUUUCAUAAGCUCGACUUAGACUCAGUUUUGUUUGUUAUGCAUGAUAUAUGUAAUAAUUGCAUGUUAUUUGUUAUUUUUGAAUUUGGUUUUUCAUGUAAAUGUUUUAUUAAUUGCUGUAGCAUCCUAUAGCUCGAGUCCGACGACCGGACCGGGUGAGGGAUGUUACAAAAUUACCUUUAUUGGUACUCUUAAUAUCUUAAAGUAUAUAGUCAUAUGUAUAUUUACAUCCAUUUAAUUCUCAUACAUCAUAUAUAUAUACUAAAUGAGCAUAUACAUCCUUAUUUUACUAACUUUGAUCAUGAACAUGCUAACAUGAUAUAACAUGAACAAUUGAUAUAAACAAAAUAUAUUGACAUUUACAAAAUAUAACAUUCUUACCAUUUGGACUAAAACGUCCAAAAUGGACGCCAAUAGAAAUUCAUGACCAAUUGUUAUAAACAAAGUAAAACUUACACGAACUUUCUUGAGUUGAGAGUUGAGUUCUGGAUGUUGUUUCACUCAUUAAAACCUUAAAGAUCUAACAAUACCUGCCAUAGAAAUAAAUAAACCAUAUGUUGAGAAAUAGAGCUUAGUGGUGCUAACAUGAUUUGAGCUAAUAAUCAGAUGGAAAUAAGAUAACAAAUACAAUCAAUAAGCCAUCAACUACCAAAUAAUAUCAAGUUCACAUACCAUAUCUCAUAUGCCUAACUCCAUACCAAGUUCCAUUUGACAAUUUCAUACAAAGGCCAUAUAACCCCUUUAUCAUCAAAUCUUAAUUACAUGUAUGUCAUGCCAUGAUUCAACAUUCAUUUCAUUUUCUCAUCUCUAUUUCAAAUCUAAUGUAUCGUUUUUUAUCCGUAUCGAACUUUUGGGCUCGUUUGAAUUGGUUUGCAUGAUCUUUCACAUGCCAUCUUUUGCCAUAUGAAUACUUCUAUACAAGAUAGACCGUUUGCUAUUAGAUUAAUUACAUAUCAAAUGUCAAUUAGAAAAGUAUAGAUUUUAUUAUCCCUAUUAACCAAACACGGACUCAAGAUGGAUACACGGAUCAUUUAACCAUCACACUAAUAUAUCUGGCACCUAAUGCAUCAUCGGAACGUCCGAAGUUUAAAUUGUGCUCCGCGCCUCAUUAGUAUAAAUUGAAGUAUAAUCUCGUACACUAAUCCUAUGACAUGCCAACUAUACUCGACACAGCCUGAGAUAGUUAAUAGGGUAACCAAUGUUUCAAACUCAUAUAUAUUCAUGAUCUCAUAUCAUAGUUUCAUAUAAUACCAAUUUAUAUCAUGCUCAUUCCUAUCCAAUUCAAUUUAUACCAUUUCAUAUCAUCACAUACAUAUCACCACAUCUUUUAUGAGUUAUCAACCAUGAAAUACUUACCAAAUUCAUGAGACAAUAAGAGAUUUUACCUCAAUCAAGAUUGUUUGAUACAAGCCUUAUGAAUAUAGGUGUAUGUAUUGAAUUCAAACCAUGGAAGCACAAAUCAUAAUUGUUACUCGUCUAUGGCUCUUGCCUUUCCUUUCCCUCAGGAUGACCUAGCGUCAUCUUUAGCUACUUUCGAUAGUUCAAUUAUAAAAAAUAAUUUUAGAUUCCACUCAAUCACAUGAAAAACAUAUAAUCAAAAAUAUUUUGCAUUUUAUUAAUUUUAGUCUCUAUAUACGAAACACUCAUAUUUUUCGAUAUUUGACAUCAAAUUAAAACCGAUUUCAUAUUCUUUCAUGAGAGACCUUAUACUUCUAAUCUAUAGCAUAAUUUCUUAGUAUUCAAUUUAGUCCCUAAUGUCACAAAGCUAACUAUAUAACUUAAUUGAAUUUUUCAAUCAAUUCCAACAUUUUUUUCUACUUUUCAACUUUGACCUAACAUGCUUAAAACUCAUACUUCAAUUUCUCAUCAAAGUCAAACUCAAUUUCAUCAAUUACCCAUUAAUGGAAACUUGACAAACAUUUAACAACUGAUAAAUCCAAGGCAUGGAUAAGCUUAAUCAAGCUUAGAUGAUCAUAAAAACAUAAAAAUUUCAAAGGAAAAGCAUGAUUACCUUAGGGAUUUUAGACUAAAUUGCAAAAGGGAAAAACUUUAUUCUUUCUUUUCUUUUCUUUUCCUCACUUGGAUGACACAAUAAAAUGAUGAAGGAUGGAUGUGUUCCAUCUUUCCACAAACAUGGCCUUAUAUAUGAUGAUUAACCAGUUAAUUAAACUUAAUUAACAUUAAUUUUAACCUUAAAACAUGUUUAAUUAAUUAUAUCAUCUUCCUUAAUAAAACUAAGUAGAUGUUAUCAUUAUCAUCCACUAUCAUAUAAUACAAAUGGUCUAAUAACUAUUUAGGUCCUUUGAUUAAUUGCUAACUAGAUCUUCAAUCAUUUUCUAAAUUAAAAUUCAAUAGAGAUUGUACUUUUAGAUUUUAGUCUCUGAACUUUAAUUAAUGAUUUAUCGAUUAUUUACUAAUAUAUUUUCACACUAACUUUGCGAAUACUUCUAUUCACAUUUUCACUGGCUCAGUUCACGAAAUUGAAUUCCAAAAUCGCAUUUUUCAACACUAUCAAAAUUGGGUCAUUACAUUUUCAAAGGCAACCCAAUAUGGAUAUCAUGAUAUGCUUAUUAUUUAUCAUCAUGGUUAAAAAAGAAUUGGGUUAAUUCAUGGAAGAAAAUUAUUUGAUGCUUUACUAGUGGAGUUAAAAAAAACUCCACAAGUAAGGGAGAAAUAUUGUCACAAGUCAUUAUGUAAUAUUAAAAAUAAAUUAAAGCAAAUACAUUUCAUUUAUUUAUACUUGUUCCAUGAACAAUAACUAAAGCAAAAUAUUUUCUAAUUUAAUGAUCCAAAAAAUAAGCAUGUUUAUUAAUGAAUUGCAUUUAUUAUAUCCGGCCGGUUAUUAGAAACCGUUGUCAAAGGAAAAAUUAGGGGGCUGGGGCCUCGUGCCCCAUAAAAUGGAAAAAAAAAUUAUUUGGACUAUUUAAAAUUUUUAAAAUUUUAAAUUAAUAAAGGUAAAAUUGCAUUUUAACCCCCUCAAAAUAUAAAAAUUUAAUUUAAUCAUUUAAAAAUUAUAAAGAUAUAGGCUAUUAAAAAGAUGAAAUUGCAUUUUUAUUAUCGUAAAAAUUACAAUAUAAUUCUGACUCCCCUAAAAAGAUUUUUUAGUUUCUCGGUGACCAUUGCUUAAUCUUUAUUGAUCUAAAACAGAAUUUGCAUAAUUUGUUACUACUAACAUCAAAUUUUUUGUUUUAAAAUGAGGACAAAAAUAGAAAAAUAAUGAUAUGAAGGGUGUUUUAAAAUAAGAUAUUAUUUCAUGUUUGUUACAUUUUAUAUACGUGUCUUGUCUGUUCUAUUUCCACUUAUAGUACUUUUCAAGUUCUCUAUCUGUAUUCUAUUUUAUUUUAUUUUAUUUUUUGAGUCAAAGCUGUUAAUUACUCCAACAUUGAAUUUUCGUAUGAUGAAUUAAGCUACGCUUAUCUGGCAAUCUAUUCUAUAUAUUACGAGCUUUUUUUGCAGAUAAAUUAAGCAAAGCCUAUCACUUGUGACUUUGCGCUUAUCAUCGGAUCUGGGUUCUUCUUCUUUCUUCACAAGGUAUUUCCUUUUUUAUCUUUCUUUAUUGAUGAAUGUAGGGUUUUGAUUGAUACAUUUUCUAGGUUUUCAAUCGUUUUUUCAUUUGUAUGAAUCAAAGUGUGCCUUUUGUCCACCUUUACAAGUUUUUUUAUUCAUUUUCCAUUUUUAAAAUUCCAAUCUUUGGCCUUUCUUUCUAGGCAUUUUAGGGCUAUUUUCUCUUAUUGUCUUCUCAUCAUUGUCAGUUUAUAAUGUAUAUCUGUGGUGGGCUAAUUCUUGACAUUGAAUCUUUUGCUUAAAGUUGGUUCUUUCAGCAUUGGGAGAAGCUGAUCAAAUAAACUUUGAUGGCUCAUGGGGAUAAAGAUUUAAAACUUGACAUUGAAAAUGAACCGAUCACUGGUGAAGAAGAAGAAUACCAAAACCGAAACCCUAUUUUAGGCCUUAAAAACAUGGCAGAACUGCUGCUUGCUAAGGCUAGAGGCAGUUUCACCCAAGGGUCGUCGGACGAUGGAGUGUCUUUGUCUAGUGAUGCUUCGAAUUCAGGUAGUGUUUAUGCGAAGAACAUGCAGGCAAUGACGAGCAUGAAUGUUGUGGGACAUGAUCAUAAUAUCAAAGAUGAUGGUAAAGAGAAUAAAUUAGUGAAGGAGAAAUGUAAAAGUUUGAGCAAUAAAAAAUCCCCUAAGCCUCCACGACCUCCGAGAUCGCCAUCAUUGGAUGCGGCCGACCCGAAGUUAAUCCGAGAGUUAUCCGAACUUGCGAGAUUAAAGCGCGCGAGGAUCAAGCGGAUGAAAGCCUUGAAGAAUAUGAAGAUUACUAAGGGAACACCUCCUCCUAGUAGAAAUAUGCUUGCCUUGUUGUUUACCAUCCUUUUCUGUAUUGUCAUAAUCUUUCAAGGUAAUAAAUAUUUUUCUUUUUAUCGGAUUUUCAAAUUCACCCACUUUCAACAUCUCAUAUGCAAAUCCUUUUUAUGUAGGAAUGCCAUCCAAAGGUACACCAAUGGCUUCCCAAGGAUCUCAUGUGCCGGUAAGAGCAACAGAGAGAGCUCCAACUUCAGUUUCAUUCCUUCGAAACCCCGUAGUACGUAACAAUUAUUGUGGCAAAACAGUUUUAAUUUGGAUUCGAAAACGGAUUUCUCAUUUCUAUUUCUGUUGUGCAGUCUAAUGGACUUUGUUGGAUAGAAAUAAAAAUGUUGUUGGUCUAUCUAUGGUCACAGAAGAUAAAUCUUUGUUGUUCAACAUCAUAUGUUUCUAUGGAGUUCACUUUUUGCUGGUAAUUUAUCCCUCGUUUGCAAGUUGAAGUUAUGGGGAGGAGAGGGAGUGAGUUAAAUUACCAUGUAAAAUUUUGGCAGUAUGUUGUGGGAUUAUAUCUAUUCUCUAUAAGCAUCUCUCAUUAUGUAACUCCAAAUUCAAUUUGAAUUCAUCCUACCAUUCUUUGGAACUUGUUUGAGUUAUUUACAGUACAUGAUUAGGUGACAAGAUGAGAAUUUUAUUCCUUUUCAGAUAGUCCUCUUUUUUUGUUUUGAAAUUUAUGCUAGAUUAAAUUAUGGUUACAUCUCCUAUAUGACCCUUCAAAAUAGGCCGCCCUUGGAGAAGCUCAUGUAUUAGAUGAUUGGUUUGAUACAAGCUAAAACUAUGGGCAACAUUUAGUUAUGGGAGUCUAAAUUUUAUAGAUUUGAGAAUUUUCUGUAAAGAUAUUUUAUAAAUUUUAAAUAUUAAUUAUUUAUAAAAUUUAAUUAUAAUAUAUAAAUUAUAUUUUAAAUAUUUAAAUAAAAAGUAAUUAAGCACUAAAAGUAUUUUUAGGAGAGGAAAAGUUAAAAAUUUUAGUUUCUCCUUCUCAAAAGUGCUUUUUUUAAGCCCUUAGUUAUGACUCUAGAUUUUAUAGACUUGAGAAUUUUUUGUAAAGAGAUUUUCAAUUCUUUAAGAGAAGUUUACACAGUGUAAUUCGUUUGGAGUUGAAGAAUCCCUCAACAAGAUUUAGUAUUAUCCUUGGUGGGGGAUUUUGCAUUAACUCUAUUGAGAACUCAAGUGCCUAAAUAAGCAGUGGAUUCAUAGAACAGGAUCCCCUUAUCGAGUGUCAUAAAAGUCGAACCAUGCACAAUGCCUUAUAACUAGCCCAAGUGGUAGCAUUUCGACUCAUUAAUUCCUUAUAUGCUAUAAGGUAUAGGUUCGAGUUCAACUAUGCACAAUACGUAUGGUUUACCUUUUUAGAUACCCAAUAAGACACUUCCUCUUUGUAAAUUUAUUGUCUUUUUAGGCAUUCGAUCUCUCGAUAGAGCCACUUUAUAAACCAACUCAAGACCUCAAUUGAAUUGUGAGAAAAAAUCCCCACAGAAAACUAUAUUUGAUGUGUUGAUAGUACGACCCAAGAUCCCAUCCUCAACAAUAAUAUAUUAUUUUUGGUACAUAUUGCAAAUUUGGAGGAAGAUGAGAAAAAGAUCUGAACCCUAUUCUUUACAAUGCCAACAUGGGGUUUACUACCCUUGUCGAAACCAUUUUUUUUGAAAACGGGAAUAGACUUUAUUUGAAAGUGAAAAUUAGAACGGAAGUCGCCACCGAUCUUUAUUAGGUGUGAUUGGAUCACUUUUAUUUUAAUAAAACAUUUUAGUUCACUAAAACGACAAUUUCGGUCUACGAAACUUGAGAGAACGGAUUCGGGAGUCAGUUACGUGCGAGGAAGGAUUAGCACCCUCGUCACGCCCAAAAUUGGUACCGAAUUGAUUACUUAGUGCCCAAAUGUCAAAAAUUGAAAAUCGGGAAUAGAUUCAAGAUACGAUCCCUUUUUUGUCGAUGUCAAUUUUGAAAACGCUUGAAUUAGCUCAAAAUGAUUGCUAAAGAUUUCCUUGUCUCGAGAUAUCGGAGUAUCACAUUCCGUAAGUUAGGACACGAUACCAUGAACUCCCGAGCGCAAGUUUGUCUUUAAUUUUAAUUGUAAUUCCGUGUGUUUUAAAACUCAAAAGGAUAUUUGGCUAUUUAGAAUCAAUGAGAAAAUCGAAACCCCGUAAGUUAGGGCACAAUUCUUCGAUGUUCCAAAACGCAAAACAUUGCCUUAUUUAGAAAAUUUUGUUUUUAAACCAUAGCAAGUACGAUACUUUAACGACGUGUAUUAUUUGUUUGGAUUAAAACGGUCCAUGUUUGGACAAAUACAUUUGAGGUCGAUGCACGAUAUGAUUUAAACGAAAUAAAAUAAAAGAGAGUAUAGAGCAUGAAAUAAUAAUACAAGAAUAACAUCACAAAUGUACGACAAAUAUAAAGAUGCAAGUGAAUGAAUUAAGGUACACACAAUGACAAUAAUCACUCAACAUGCAUUAUUUAAAUGUUAACAUUAGUAAUCAAGGAGCAAAUAAAAUAAAUAAAUAACAUAUAUGACAAUCUAAAAAAUAUAUAGUAUAAAGCAAAUUAAAACGAAUAAAACAUGAAAAAUAUUUAACAUGAUGAUAACUAAGUUUUAAAAGUAAAUAAAGUGAAAAAUGAAUCCUUAAAAUCAAUAAUAUAUAAAAUAAUUUAAGAAAAGAUGAUACAUUUAUUUACAAAAAAUUUAGAUCAAAUGAUGCGUACAUUUAUAUAUGUAUAUAUAAGUAUAAAAUAGGUAAUAAUAUGAGGAAAUAAUUUAUAAUGAGUAAUAAAUAAAAUAUUUAAAAUAAAUGAAUUGAGUUCUAAAAAGGGACAUAAAACAAUUUAAAGUAAUAAAACAGUUUUAAAUAAAUAAUACAUGAAACGAUUUUAAAAUGAAAGGGCAAUUUAAAGUAAAGAAUAUAAAACAAUUUAUAAUAAUUAACAUAUAUAAUAUUUUUGGCACAAAAUAAAGUAACAUAUAUAAAGAAAACUUCAAAUAAACAAUAUGUUAAAUGAAUCAAGAUGAAUAAUACACAAAAUAAAUAAAUAAAUAAAUAAAAAUAAAAAGGACGCUUUAAAAUAACUUACAAAAGAGCUUAAAAUGAAUAAUGUGUAAAAGAGAAAAUUAAAAUAAAUAUUGUUCAAAAAUAAUUUAAAUAAAUAUAUAUAUAAAUCCAAAAUAAUAUAGAAAAGUUUAAAAUAAGUACCUAUAUAGUCUUAAAAUUAAUAAUAAUAAAGGUUUACAAUAAAUAAUAAAAUAAUUUAAAAUAAUUUUCAUAUAAAAUAAUGUAACUAAAUAAUAUAUAAAAAUUUAAAAUAGAGUUUAAUUCAAAUGACAUACAAAAUAUUUAGAAAGAAUAAUGUGAAAAAAGAAAUUUGAUAUAAGAUAAUGCAUAGAAAAAUGUUUAAAAUAAAAUAUAUAUAUAUGUAUACAUGUAAUAAAAUACCAAGAUACGUAUAAGAAUCUCAAAAUAAAUACUACGUAUGAUGAUUUAAAAGAAAUGAUAUAUAUAAAAUAUUCAAAAUUGGUAAUAAUUUAAAAUGCAUGAUACGUUCAAAAAUGAAUAAAAUAAUAAUAAUGACAACAAUAAUGUAAGUAAAUAUAAAAUAUAUAUAUACAUAUAUAAAAUCAAAAGGAAUAAUGUGUAUGAUAGUUUGAAACAAAUAAUAUAUAUAUAUAUAAAGUUUAAAAUGAUCAAUAGUUUACAAUACAUAAUAUGUAAGAACUAAUAAUAAUAAUAAUAACAACAAAAAUGAUUUAAAAAUAAACAAUAGAACAGUUUAAAGAUAUAUAAAAGAAUAUUUAACAAAUGAAAUAUGAAACAAAUAAUAUAUAUAAAACCUGAUAAAUAAAUAAAUAAAUAAAUAAGGAAUUAAAAUCAAACUGAUUAGGGGCUAAAUUAAAAUAAAAAUGAAACUAGAGAUAAAAAAACUAAAACAGAAUAACAGAAUAAAAAUACGAGGUCGAAAAUGAAAAUACACACGAGGUUUGAGGACCAAUCGGGCAAAAAGCCAAUAUUUGGACACGCGUCCGUGUUCCAGUGCACUGAUGGGUCAGGGAUUCGAUUGGAAAGAAUAACAAAGUCAUAGGGUCAAAUUUAUAAAAUAAAAUGGUAAACAAAGGGGCUAAAUCAAAAUAACAACCAAUUUGGAAGGAACCCGGGCAUAAAUAGCUCAUUCACAGUAGAAGCACGCGGAUCCUGAUGGUUCGGGUUGGUCGCAUGGGCAUAGCAUAAAAUGACGUCGUUUUUGAGUUAUUGGACUUAACUCAAAACGGCGUCGUUCAAUAUAUCUAUAAAACCAAAUUUUUUUUGAAACAUCUUAAUUUCAUCAGUGCAUAAAAAUAAAAAUAAAAAUAAAAAAAGGAGAGAGGGAGAGGCUUCUCCGGCCUAGGCGAUUUUCGGCCAUCAGAUCGCGGCCCAUUCGUCACCGGCGACCACUGUGCGCGGCGGUCGGAUGUGCAAAACGAAGCCCUUUUUGCCCCUUUCGCUCUCCUCACUCCAGAUCUAAGCCCCAAGCACAUAAAAAACCCCGAGCAAGUCGAAGAAAGCCAAAGGAGCCCUCCGAUUCCGACUUCCCCGACUCGACGAAGGUAAGACCGAUCAUAUUCUUCCCCUCUUUUUAUCCUUUGGUUUUUAAAAAUCGAUUCGAGAGCAAAAAUAAAAUAAAGAAAAAAAAAGGAACAGAGAGUGAAAUUCCACCUUUUUGUUUUUUUUUAUUGCUUAAUCGUGUGUUACAAUUUUUUUGUGUUUGUGGCUAUAUAGCCGAAUACAAAAAUCUAUUGUUUGCUACUAUUUUGGCACUGCUUUUUGCUGUUUCCCUUUCUUUGCCAUGUUUGCAGGUCCAUGGAGGGUCAACGGGCGAGGGAGUUUCCACUUCCAUGCAAGGGCGUUGAUCCUCAGGCGGAGUGCGCGCUGAGGCACAUGGGCAGUGGCUGCGGCGCGAGGGAAGCUCGAAAACCCUAGGGUUUCUGAGUUGGCUUAAUGUUUUGGGCUUAUUGGGCCAACAGAGGUUGGGUUAAGGAUUUUGGGUUGUGUUUGGGCCAUAGGUGAAUUGGGCCUGCUUGGUUGUAGCUAGCUGGGUAGUGUAGUGGGUUUUUAAUGUUGUAAAUGGACUUAAGUAACUUUGAAUUUUAUUUUAUAUUUUAUAUUUUUAUUGUUUAUUGGUUUAGGCUCGGGCCGGGCAAAAUAGGCUCGUUACAACCCUUUUAUGUAGUUGGCAAUAAUAACCCUAUUCUUAAUUAAUUGACGCUUUUAUAUUGUAAUAUGAAGAUAAUAAUAACCAUUCAGAUUUCGACCAUUUGAUGUCUUUUACUUUUUAUUUUUCAUUAAUAUUAUAUGAUAAAAUAA
rnacentral:lncRNA from 1 species